ACUAUAUUGCUGUCAUGCUACAGCUGCUACACGCGUGGCAGUGAAGACGAGGCUACUAUUUGUCGGGCGAGAAAGUCGUCUGCAGUCGGCUUUUCACAAAUUGACAUUACCGCAUUAGAUAUAUCACACGAACAGCGCAACAACCAACCCAGUGGUUUUACGAUUAAUAUAGAUAUCAACACCUUUUAGUUACUGUUAUUAUUUCUGUUUUUUUCUUUCUUCUUCCCCACUCUUACUUAAAUAUUUCAAACUAAAAUUGCAUUAUAAACUACUUUCAUUGAUUGAAACAUAUAUUAUAUAUAUGUUUUUUUUCUUCUUCUUCAGUAGAAGAGGAGUAUAUUAAAUAAUUUGCAAAUCAUUUUUAUUAAGGAUUAAAAAAAAAAAGAAAAGAAUCCCCUAACCCCAGAAGGAGAGGUAUGUCAGUGAUGAAGAUGGUGAUCAAAACAAGUGUGUACUGCGUUUAUAAUUAUGGUUUCACUUGAUAAAGAAAGGUUGUAUUUCCAAAUAAGUCAAGGAAAGAAUAACCAAAAUCAAAUAAGGUUCUUUAACUUAAUUUAUUUCUAUUUUUAUAUAUUUUUUCUCCCCGCGAUCUUCCUAUAUUCAUAAGUUAUUGUCAUCUUUUAAGAAUAGUUACAAAAAAUAUAUAUCAAAAUAUCAAACCCAAUCAAGGUAGAAAAACAUAAAAAAGGCCGUUGUUUAGAAAACACUAGAAACCAGAAUGGUAUCUCAGGCGGAUUUUCAAGUACCACCUCUUCCUCCUCGAUAUCGCUUCAGGGAUUUAAUUUGGGGAGAAUCUGGACAUCAGGACGAAACCAGGUAAAUUAAUUAAUAAUGUUGAAAAGUAUUUCGUUGAAUAUUUCCUUUCUUUUCUCUUUUACUCAUUCUUUGAUUAUAUUUCCUACUUUCGAUUUCUUUUUUUUUGUUUUGUUUUUACCUUUUAUUUUUCAAUUGUCUUUCUCCUCUCCCGUUACCAAUUAUUCGUUUUUCUUUUACAUCUCAGUUUCCUUAUAUUCUUUAUAAAUCUCAUUCCUGACUGUUAAAUACUCUUUAUUUAAUUUCUAAGUUUUACUUUUUUUUUCAUUGACUUUUUUUACUGUCUUUGAUCUUUCUCGCCUGCUGUCAAUAUACUUGUGCCAAUUCGCGUGUUUAUAUACACACACACAUAUAUGUACACACGCUUAUAUAUAUAGAUAUGUGUGCAGUUGUGUAUAUGUGUGCAUAUGCGUGUAAGGAUCGCAACGUGACACAUUGUAACAAUAGUUGUCACGCGUGGCUAUUCAAAAUAUUUCAAUGUGUCGAUAUGAACGGUAAAUUCACAAUAUGUUCUUAUAUGUCAACGUGUAUAGUUCUAUUUUACUGUUUUUAUAUGCAAUUAUAAAUGUUGUUGCUAUAAAUAAAACUAAAGCAUAAACGAAAAUUGUUGCAUCAAAUACAGAUAUGCACGCAUAUUAAAAUAAUGAUUAUGCAUAUAUAAACAAUACAAUGCAUUUAAUGUGCGUGUGUGUGUGCAGUCGCGUGCACAUGCAAAACAUUGUUUUGACGUCCAAUUUCCUUGCUUGCAUGGGUCAGACGGAAUUCGUUGAGGCAGAUUUUCUACGGCUGGAUGAACUUCCUCACAUCAACCUUCACCAGUUUCCCAAGUAAGGGAAUGUGCUUUUUACAGAAAACUGGAAACGAAUAGCAUAAUUUGUAUUACGAUGGUGCUCGCUUUACAAACAUCACGUGAUGUCAUACACACAAACAAAUAUACAUAUGCACGCACGCACAUACUCACACGUAUAUAAUAUAUACACACACACACUCACGACUGCUUUCUUUCAAUUCCCAUUUACUAAAUCCAGUGACAAGACUUUAGUUGGCUCAGGGCUGUUGUAAAAUAAACUCUUGCCCUAAGUGCAGCCCAGUGGAACUGAACCCAAGACCACAUGGCUGGGAAGCUAACUUCUCAACUACAUAGCACCUGUGCAUGAUCCCUAACUUAGUGGUUCAGCAAAAGAGACUGAUAGAAUAAGUAGCAGGCUUACAAAGAAAAAGUCAAGGGGUUGAUUUUUUAAACUAAAAGACAGUACUCCAGCAUGGCCACAGUCAAAAUGACUGAAACAAAUGAAGGAGUCAAAAAGAAGAGUAUAUGUAUAUAUGUAUAUUUAUAUACAGACUGUAUAUACAUAUAUAUAUUAUAUAAAGACUUUCUUACUUUCCGAGUGUUAAACUAAUGCAUCUGUUUGUUGUUUACACACCCGUCUUCAUCUUUUGUUUUGUUUGUUUUGUAAAUUCCAACUAUAUAUUUAUAUAUAUAUAUAUAUAUAUAUAUAUAUAUAUAUAUAUAUAUAUAUAUAUAUAUAUAUAUGAAUAAAAAAUGGAGUUAACGCAGGUUUAAACAAGUAUUUUUACUUUCUACAUAUGUUUCAAAAAUUCCACUGAUACUUAUUCAAAAGAAUAAAAGGUAUAAACAAUGCAAUCUUUACUUGUGAGAUUUUUGCUGCCCUGGUAACUAUUCAUUCAUUUAUCCAUGUUAAUUGUUAACAAGGUAAAAUACACUCAUCUAUUUAUAUAUAUAUAUAUAUAUAUAUAUAUAUAUAUAUAUAUAUAUAUAUAUAUAGUUGGAAUUUACAAAACAAACAAAACAAAAGUCUUUUACGUUUCGAGCUGACGCUCUUCAACAGAGAGGAACAUAGAAAUAAGCAGAUAGAGAAAAUAAAAAGGUUUAGUGGCUCGUGAUAAAUCAUGAUAUAUAAUAUAUAUACAUACUGUAUAUACAUAUCUAUAUAUAUUUAUAUACUGUAUAUACAUACAUAUCUUUAAAUGGCUAAAUCAAAAGAUAUCCAGUAAAGACCCCGAAGAAACUGCACCAGUUUUAUAGUAGGGUUGCAAUUGCAAUAGUUUCUAAUUGUUGCAACUGAAACAUGUGUUGGUCUAUGUAAGACGGUAUAUAAAUUUAAGUAGUAAAGGUAAUGCUAUGCAACUUUGUAGUAAUCCUUAUUAUUAAUAUUGUUAAUAUUUACACUAUAUGGUUACGGAAAUAUAAAGGGUAAAGACCCCCUUCGGUCAUGAAUGACCAUGGGAUUGCACCUAGAAAGUUACCCUCCUAGACACAAGUCCGGGCAAGGUUGUUUAUGGAAGACCAGAAGUCGCCCAUGCACACCAGCCUCCCCUCUCCACGCCACCAGUGUUAUCCAAGGGAAAGACAAAGGUCGAUACAGCUUGGCACCAGUGACGUCGCAACUCAUUUCUACAGCUGAGUGAACUGGAGCAACGUGAAAAUAAAGUGCUUUGCUCAAGAACACAACACGCAGCCCGGACCGGGAUUCGAGCUCACAACCUCACGAUCGUAAGCUCGACGCUCUAACCACUGAGCCAUGCGCCUUCACAUAUAUAUACGGAAAUAUAUAUAUAUAUAUACACACACUUGCUUAUAUACAAAUGUAUAUGCAUUAUAUAUAUGUGUGUAUGUGUGUGUGUAUAUAUAUAUAUAUAUACACACACUUGCUUAUAUACAAAUGUAUAUGCAUUAUAUAUAUGUGUGUAUGUGUGUGUGUGUAUAUAUAUAUAUAUACACACACUUGCUUAUAUAUAAAUGUGUAUACAUUAUAUGUGUGUGUGUAUACAGGGGUUGAAUAAAAUAAUGGAAACGCAUUAAAAUUUCUAACAAAUUUAUGUUAAUACAGAGUAGGACUGCCUUUGGUAGUAAUUACAGCUUGAAUUCUAUAAGGUAUGGACUUGUACAAAGUUUGAAUUGUUUCCAAAGGAAUUUUUGUCCAUUCUUUAGCUAAAACAGUCUUCAGUUCUUGUAGUGAUGAUGGUGGAGGAUAUCGAAUCCUUACUUGUUUUCUACAAUGCACCGUAAAUAUUCAAUAAUAUUGAGAUCUAGGAAAUGUGGUGACUAGAUAAGAUGUUCAACUUCAUUAGAAUGUUCCUUUAAAUGUAAUAAAAUGUUUUAAAAGGAAUUUAAAGUGCCACUGUGAUAACUGUAAACCUACUUUUGGGCUACCCUGUAUAUACAUACAGCAGGGUAUCCAUGUCCAGAUAUAAACAGUUUGCUAAAUGAACAAAUUGGGUAAUGCCUGGUUUUUCUGAAGAAAAUUAAACUCACAUAAUGAGCUGAAAUUUGAUCAAAGGACCAUGAGCUGACUAUGCACAUGUAUAAGUGACUGAGAACCUAUUCACUUAAUGAACUAAAAUUUGAACAACAAAUUGUGAGGAGAUGACACAAUGGUAUACUAAAUGAAUAAACUGUAUAGCAAACAGGUUUUUAGAAGGAAAUUAUAUUCAGCAAAUGGGCUAAAAUUGGAACAACAAACCACAAGUAAACUAAACAUACAUAUAAGUGUCUAGGGGAGUGUGUUCAAAAUGGUUUGUUAGAAUACAUGUAUGUAUUUCAUUAUGCAUAAACAGAUGCAAGACAAAGGGAAAAGAACUCACACUUACAUGCACAUGCACAUACACACACAUACACAUACACGCACACACUCACACUCACACACACACACACACACACACACACACACACACACACAUAGUAUAUACGAGUAAGUGCUGAAAAGUUCCUGGCUUUGGGUAAAAGAAGAUAUAGGAAGAUCUGUUAAUUAUGAUUAUAUUCAACAUAUUCCCUUCUCAGAUUGCAGUAGUUAUUCAUUUUUCCUUAAGCCAUGUAAAAGAACUCAAAAGGUUGAGCUGCUAACCAGGCCUUUCGUGAUUUCCUUGAAAGCCAGGAACUUUUCAGCACAUAUAUUUAUGUAUUUGAUGUUGAUAGAUGGACAAAUAAAACAUUAUUUGGUUCCUUUAUGUGGAAUCUGUGUGUGGCUUAGAACAGAUUACCUUUGUAUUUAAUCCAUUUACUCAUGUAGCAAACAAUUUAGUUAACAGACAGGAUGCUGGAACAGAUAAUGUCCAUGUAUGGAGACAUCACUGUAUAUGUGUAUGUGGCUUGUGCAUCACAUACACUUAUGUGUGAUAUACAUGUGUGUAUGUAUAUAUGCAUGCAUAUAUAUGUGUGUGUGUGUUUACAUUUACAUAUCUAUAGAUAUGUAUAAAUAUAGUCAUCAUAAAAGCAGAAAAUAUUUGUAUAUAUGUGUAUGUUAUAUAUAUAUAUAUAUAAAACUGAGAAUGUGUGUCUGUCUGUGUGUUUCCCUAAAACUUGAGAACUACACAACCAAUUUCAUUCAAAUUUUACAUAUGCCUUACUUAGGGUCCAUGUAGUUUCAUGGGCAAAAAAAUGUUCAACUUCUUGCCUAGGAUGAGCCCAUAGCAGUAUCAUAUCUUCUCCACUAUUUCAGUAUUACGUGUUAAAAGUGAAAGAAAAACAUCUCUCUAGUUUAUGUCAGAUACUUUCACUUUAACAAUAAAAAAUAGAGAUAAUAAUAGCAAUUGAAUUAUAUGUAGUAAGUAAUAAUUAAAAUCAAACUAAAGUAUAAUAUAAUAAUUAAAUCGUAACAUAACAAUUAAAAGUAAAAAUAGCAAUUGGUAUAAAAUUGCAUCAAUGACUUGAACUUGAAUAAGUGGCUUCACAUGAAUGGGAAUAAAUAAAAAAUAAAAUUUAAGUGCAGAAAUGGAAUAGUCCAGAUGGAGCUGUGCACAUACCCUUUACCACGGCUUUUACAUUAGAUUAUCUGCUAAUUAGCUAGCAUUAAGUAUCUAUAUGAAGUUUGGCUGUAUGUAAUGUCUGUUUUCUCGAACAGCCGCUUCUACUGAGUACUGCUGUUGGUUUAUUUCUGAUCCAUAAAGGACUAUAGCUUCAACUGAGUUCUGCUUUUUGAUUCACUGUAAGGUUUGUUGUUAUUAUUAUUACUGUUUAACUAUUGUUAUCGGGUUUGUUGGUUCCUCGUAAGGGAAGCGUUGUUGUGUUGCAUUUGUUAAAUAAUUGUAAACUGUAACCCUCCCCCUUUGGGAGAAGGAGCUUUGGUUAUUGUUUAAAAAUUGAAUUGUGUCCCUGUUUGGGGAAAUUGACAAUAUUUUCACCGUUUAUAUGGAAGCAUUUUUGUUAAAAUGUCUUUGAUAGAAGAAGGUCCAAAAAUGAAUUUCACUGCAGCCGUCAGUGGGCGCAAACUCAUUAAAAUUAAAAUAGAAGAAAUACAAGCCUAUUUCGGAUUGAUCACCGACAAAGAUGGGGAAUCUAGGAUAACACCACCAAACGAAAUAAAAAAUAAAAUUAAAGAAAAGACUAUUGUCUAUAAAGUAUACAAUGUAGAGAAAAAAAAAAGAUUUGAACACCUGCAGGAAAGCACCAUUGAGAAGUGUCUUGGUGCGACUAUGAAAGAUAUCAAGUAUCUAACCAGAGGCAGUAAAUUCACCACAAUAGAAGCAAGGUUUGAGUCAACGGGGCAUGCAAGGGAGUACUCGACUCGAACCUUGCAAAGUGGAAAUAUUUUAUUUUUGCCUUUAUAUCUGGGACGUAGGACGUCCCGAAUAAAAAUUAAAAAUGUCCCCCCAAAAGUAGAGGUAGGCUGGAUUGUAGCCACACUUCUAUACAAGAGGGAGGACAAGAUACAAUUGAUCGAAAUUGCAAGAGACGGGCCUACAACUCCAGUCUGUUAUAUAUUUUGAGUAUUGUUAUCACUAGCGAUAUCAAGAUAUAACUUUGUAUUUUGUAUUUUAUGUGUAGGUGUACAUAUAUAGAUGUACAUGUAAUAUGUACACAUAUCUACAUGCACUAGCACUAUGACCUGGCAACACUGGGUCAUAAUGCUAGUAUAUAUAUAUAUAUAUAUAUACAUAUGUGUGUGUGAGUAUCAUUUGAAGCAUUUGAUGAGAAAGCAGAAAAAGUAGAGGCAUAUAGCACUGAGAAUAACUAGAAGUUUGUACUAAACAACCUAUUGUGUUCUGUGUACCAAAUGUGUCUCAUGCAUAUUUUCAAUCCUCCUAAGGGUAGUGUGCUGAUAGAAGACAUAUAUUGCUAGCUCCAUAAAAGGAGAAUUUUCCAAUUGUUCAAAGCUUUUGAGCAACUGGAAAAUUUAGUGCAGCAGAAAAUUCUAUCAGAUUGCUAGAAAUGAUGUCCUGCAACGGUUUUAGUUAGCAAGGGAUGAAGUAGAAUGUAUGAGGUUUACCAAUGUUUUAUAAUAUGAGCUUCAGUGAUGUGAGGUGUUCCAGUUUACAAGGCUACAUAUCAGAAAGAACUGAGUUGCUAGAGAGAAGAAUAGCAACCUUGCACUUGAUGAUACUGAAAGAAUAGAGAUGUGGAAGUGCAACAGUGAAAGGUUAUUGAAUGUUGAGAAUGCAUGGGAAAAAGAGUGUCUUCCUGGUGAAUACUCAAUAGAGAGACCAGUCAUUCUGAAGGAGUAGAAAACCCCUGGUCUGUUAGGAAUUACUGCUGAGAAGCUUAAAAUAUCUGGAGUUUGAUACUGUUUAGUCACUUAUUUAAUCGAUGAGGAUGUAUUAUAUUCAUUGACAGUUAUAGCAACAUUAUAGUCAAGUGUUAUUAGGGUACAGAAAUAAAGAAGAUGCCUUAGGGAGAGGUAAUUACAGAUGUAUCAAAUUGUCGGACAGGUCAUGAAAGUUACAAAAAUGUUAUAGUUCAGUUAAUUAGGAAGAGAAUUAGCCCACAUGAGAUGCAGUUAGCUUUUUCUGUGUGGGAGAAAUACUACUGAUACUCGCUUCCUAAUGAGAUAACAGCUAGAUAAGUAUUUAGUGAAAAGUAAGCUGCUUUACUGUAGAAAACUUUAGACAUUGUUCCUCUGUCUGUGAUCUGAUACUCCCUAAGGAAGCUAGAAGUAGACAAGUGGCUUGUGAGAGAGCCAUACAAACCAUGUUCAGAGGAGUUGUUAGCAAAGUGAGAGCAACAAGGGCUAUAAGGAAUUCAUUGUAUAGGGAUCCACCAGGUGUUGGUUCUCAGUCCUCUUCUACUUAUCUUAGUCCUCCAAACCAUAAUAGAGAAGUUUAAAACUGGAUACCCAUAGGAACUCUUAUAUGUUGAUGAUCUUGUUCCUAUAGCUGAAUCUCAAGUAGAAUGAAAAUUGGAAUUCUGAAAUCAAAGAACCUCAAAGUUAGAUUAGAAAAGACCAAAGUUUUAGUAUAUAGGAAAAUAAACAGUACUCUACUUCUAUCAGGGAAAUGGCUUUGCUUGAUAUGUUAUCUUCCCUUCUCCCUGGAACCACUUCCUUUUGACACCCAUUCCUCAUUCUUAACAUUGUCCUACCUCAAUCUUCCAUAAAUCACCUUCUCUGUGUUAUAGCUUUCUCUCCCUUGAAUUAAAAUAAUAAUAAUAAUGAAAUUAUUGUAUACAGUGCUCAGGUGCAACACUUGUCAAAAGUACGUAUAAAGCAUAUGCAGUAAUGUACAAAUGUCUGGGAAGUAAACAGUGUAUGAGUCAGAUACAUGCUUGCGUGUGUAUGGUGGGGACAUCCUAUUGACACUCAUACAUGACUAUACCAUUUCAUAUCCACUCCCAACUGUCUCGCACCUUUUUUCCCCAUACUAUACUCACCCUGACAUAUUUAUGAACUCUUCCAACCCAAUCACUAUAUAUCUCUCACCCUCUCUCUCUCUCUCUCUCUCUCUCUCUCUCUGUCUCUCUCUCUCUUGCAACUUUACCACACUCUCCCAUCAUUUAUCUUUCAUCAUUUUCUUAUUUUUAGUUUUAUUAUUCUGCUGCACCUCACUGUUUCUGUACUAACAAUCAUUAACUUCUCUUCCCUGAGCUACUUUUACUGACAUCUUCCCAUUAUUAUCUCCUUUCUCCACCUCUCUGCCUUUAUCCAUCAUUCAUGAAAGUCACCCCUGACAUAUUUCUAACCAUCACUCUAACAUCUUUGUAGCUUUUGCCCAUCCACACUUCCUGAUUUAUCACUGUACUCUCUUCAAUUUUUGUUGUGGUUUCUGUGAUAUUGGGUGACUGCAACUGUAAUCCUUUUGUGUCUUCUUUCUCAUUCUUAGAGUUUCUUCAUAAGUCAGAGAUUGAGAUUUAUUUUGCUUUAAUUAUGGCCUUAUUUAUUUGGGUUUUUUUUUCUUUUUCAUAACUUUUGUUUCUGGAGAGAGAUUUUAUAGUAACAUUUCUCAUGUAGAUAAGUCUCUGUAUUGCACAUAUACACCUUGGUAUUUUAAAUGGUUUUUCUUUUCCUUUUAGUAUGGGGUCAUUUGCAGGAUCUAAAGGUUAAGCAGUGUUGUGUAUAUGUGUCUUUGCUGUAAAGAUCAGUGUAACAAUCACAUUGUCUUUAAUUAUCAAAAUGUUCAGACAAGGAAAUGUCCUUUCAUUUAUUUCUAUUGUGAAUUUGAUCAAUUUAUGAAUGCUAUUGAUUUUUGAAAUCUUUUAAGAUCUUCCUUAUUUCUGUUCUGAAAUAGGAAAGAAUCAUCCAGGAUCGGGGACCCUGUCAAAGGCUUUCUCCAUGUCAACGAAAGCCAGGUACUGGGGUUUAUCUUUGGCUAGGUAUUUCUCCUGCAGCCGUCUUAUCAGAAAUAUAGCAUCAGUGGUGCUUUUCCUCGGCACAAACCCAAACUGCAUCUCAUCUAGACUGACCCUCUCCCUAAUUAGUAGGGCUACAACCCUCUCCAUGACUUCCAUUACCUGAUCCAACAGCUUGAUACCUCUGUUAUUAUUUGUAUCUAAUGCAUCACCUUUACCUUUGUAGCGGUUGACUAUGGUGCUGCUACACCAGUCAUUGGGUAUGACUCCUUCAUGUAUCACCUGGUUGACUGUACAGGUGACUAGGUCAUAGCCGACACUGCCAGAUAUUUUGAGCAUCUCUGCAGUGAUUCCUGAUGGGCCAGGGGCUUUCCCUGUCUUCAUCCCCUUAAUUGCUUUAUCUACCAAGGCACUAUCAAUUUGGAUAGCUGGUCCCUCUGUUGGGUCAGCAUUUGGCAGGCUCUCUUUCUCCCAUUCAUUCUCUUUAUUUAGUAACCUUUCAUAGUCUCCAUACCUCUCUCUUUGCAGCCUCGUUUAAUGCAAGUGAACCAUCAUCCAUGCGGACACAUUUCUCUCCUACAACAUCACGAUUCUCUCUCACACACUGUCUUGCAACACAAAAUACCUCAAGUCUUUGGUCCUCAUGGUGCAGAACAUUGGCAAAUUUUUUCUUAUCUGCUUCCUCUCUGGCUAAAUAAACCUGUCUCCUAGCUUCCCUUCUGACAGUCUGGUACCAUUCCCUGCUACCACCAUUCUUUCAGUCCUUCCAAUCCUGAUUCUUUUCCCUAAUGGCCCUGUCAACAACAUUGUUCUACCACCAUGUUAUCUUGGGUUGAGAGGGGACUUUGCACCAUCCACAGAUCUGGUCAGUGGCCCUCAGCAGGUUGACCUGUAGAAACCUCCAGUUGUCUUCCACAUCAUGUGAUGUUAUAUCCCCCUCUAUUUCGUCAAAGGCUUUGAGUAAAAUGUCUCUGAAUCUCUGUCCAUUUGCAGGAUCUUUAAGCUUUGAGAACCUUCUCCUCCAUGCUGGUCAUUUUCUGGGCAUUCAUUUAGCCCUGAUAUAUAUAUAUAUAUAUAUAUAUAUAUAUAUAUAUAUAUAUAUAUAUAUAUAUAUAGAGAGAGAGAGAGAGAGAGAGAGAGACAUUUAUAUACAUACACACAUUUACGUGUGUGUGUAUAAAUUUAUGCAUGUGUGUAUAUAUUUAUAUGUAUUUAUAUAUAUGUAUAUCUUUCUAUAUGAUACACACACAUAUAUACAUGUGUGUUCCAUUAAUUGAUUAAUUGAUUAAUUUAUUGAUCAAUUAUAUAUAUACAAACCUUUUGAAACAUAUGGUCAAGCCUUUUGAAGCAUAUGUAAGCAAAUAGUCAUGUAAGAAUAUAAUUCUUUAUUCUUUGACUGAUUACUAUAUACAUACAUACAUACAUACAUACAUACAUACAUACAUACAUACAUACAUACAUAUAUAUAUAUAUACACAUACAUAUAUAUACAUACAUACAUACAUACAUAUAUAUAUAUAUAUAUAUAUAUAUAUAUAUAUAUAUUAUAUACAUACAUAUAUAUAUACAUACAUAUAUAUAUAUAUUUACAUAUACCUGGUGCGAUGUGAAAAUUGUCUCCAUUUUAUAUUUUUAAUUCUCCGCAUGCACAUAGUUUGUUUUUGAUUUUGUCAAUUACACAGUAUAGUAGGGUCAGCUGGGCUCCGUAUUUGAGAAAAACAGCACCAUGAUGCAAUUCACUCUGCCAGUGGCUGUCGCAGCUACUACCUAAAACAUAAUUGACUGGAUUUUUAUGUUGAUUUACAAGUCUACCCUUGAUGGAGCCAGAUACAUUCCAAUGUCAGUCAUUUUGGUAGUUUACUGUCUGUUUGAUGUCAAAUUUCUUUUCACCAGUGAACACCAGGUUGGGCAGUGUGCCUUCAGCAAUCUGACACAGGAUAAGACGACUUCUCUCCAUUUUCAUGGCCUUAUAAACUUGCAUGAGCUCAUGACAGUGGAUCAUCUUGAAAAGUUGGGUCCUGAGAUCUUCUUUCAGCACUCAAUACAUCAAUUUUCGAUUUAGUUUUGCUGUGGCAGCCUGUUUUCUAAUGGAACAACAGAGAUUUUGCUGUAUCUUUUCUCUGGAACUUUUGGUAAGCUGAGGAGUCUGCACACUUCUUUUUCAGCCACCAAGGAUUAUUUUCAAGCAAUAUAUCAUGCAAGUACUAUGAAAUGCUAGCUGAGAGCUAUAAAUGAGUCUUCCCUUUGAGUUUGUAUUUAGAGUGCUUGUAACUUCUAAGUCUUUAUGUUAUGGGUAUCGGGUAAUGCGUAAAAUUUGUAAGAAUGUAUAUUUCUGUGUGUGUGUAUGUAUGUGUUUCUGUACAUACAUAUUCAUGUUAAAUGCAAGUUAUUCUAAUGGAUUUGGAAUCCUUCCAAAGCUGUCAGUGAUUAUUUUCAAAUUAAUUUUCAUCAAAGCCCAUCCUCAUCAGUAUCCUCAUUGUUUAAUGUUCAACUUUUCCAUGCUUCCAUGCAUCAGAUGGAAUUUGUUGAAGCAAAAGAAGUGUGCUGAAAAAGAAGUGGAUGCCUUUCCUGUUGUCAACUCUGUUUCCAAGCCUUGUGAGUGGCUAGACAUAUUUUUUUACAGAAGAUUAGAAAUGAACAACAUUGCUAACAUGGAAGUGAUGCUCUUUUAUAACCACCAUGUAAUGUCAAGGCAAAAGAUAUCACAGUUGCACAAACACACAUAGAUACAUAUGUAUACAUAUAUGACAGGCUUCUUUUAGGUUCUAUCUACCAAAUCCACUCACAGGGCUUUGGUUAGUCCAAGGUUAUAGUAGACAACACUUACUCAAGAUGUCACACUGUACACAGUGUACCACAUUUAACAAUGUACUUGCCAUACUGUCUUUUAUCAUAAUAACACAUCAAUCAGGCAAGUUAAUGAUUUGUCUUAUCUAAUCACGGGAACUAUUUUUGUUCGGAGAUAUUACUUUCUGGUGUGAAUGCUAUCUCCUGUAACAUCUCCAGAAUAUACUCGUUAUUCAUGAUAUUUGUAUUAACUCAAUAGAACCUUAAGUGACUUUUUAAUGGCUGUACCCCAGCAUAGCUACAGCCUCUGGCUGAAUCCAAUGAAAGGAAAAGCAAAUAAUGGUAAUAACAAAGGUCAAUAAUGUAAUAAGAGAGUGAAUAAUAACAAAAUAAGUUUUACUGUGAAAACAAAAACAAUUUUGUGAUUGCUACAUGCACUGAAAACCUGAAGAACUUCUGAUAAUGCUGAAACUGGAUGUACAUACCUUUUUUAUAGUAUUUACACCAGAAGGAACAGUUCUAAUUACAAUGACAGUUAAUUGUCAAUUUCCAUUUCACAUAACAGUGUUGUAGCUCCUUAUAAUUGGUUGUUAUUUAAUAUAUUAGUAUAUAAAGCAGUGAGCUGGCAGAGACAUUAGCAAGCUGGGCUAAAUGUUUAGCAGUAUUUCAUCUGUCUUUAUGUUCUGAGUUCAAAUUCCACCGAGGUCGACCUUGUCUUUCAUCCUUUUGGGGCUGAUAAAUUAAGUACCAGUUGCAUAUGGGGAUCGAUCUAACCGACUGGCCCACUCACCAAAAAUUUUGGGUCUUGUGCCUAGAGCAGAAAAGAAUAUUACCAGUAUGUUAGUAAUAUUUAGCACCUACUCUGUUCUAAUAAUGUAUUUUGGAAGAUGAAACAUAUCGGGUUCAUAAUAUGAGGUAAGAAGAGGAAGAAUUCAAGAGAACUGUUGACAAUAAUGAUGUACUUGCCAUACUGUCUUUUAUCAUAAUAACACAUCAAUCAGGCAAGUUAAUGAUUUGUCUUAUCUAAUCAUGAAAUCCUUUUUUUAUGUUCGAAUAUUACUUUCUGGUGUGAAUGCUAUCUCCUAGUAACAUCUCAGAAUAUACUCGUUAUUCAUGAUAAUUGUAUUAACUCAAUGAGAACCAUAACUUGAAAUGUUGAAGGUAGAGAGCUAUGCUUUGCAUCUAAGAGUUCUAAGGACACACACACACCAUGCAUGCAUGCAUAUAUACAUACAUACAUACAUACAUACAUACAUACAUACAUAUGUUUGUAUGUAUAUAUGUAUGAAUGCAUAUAUGUAUCAUCAUCAAUGGCAGCAACAUUAUUUAAUGCCUGUCUUCCACACUGGCUUCCCAACCACACAGUUCCAGGUUCAUUUCCACUGUGUGGUAUCCCAAGCAAGUGUCUUCUACUAUAACUCCUAGAUUUGGAAGAUAUUAGUAUAUAAAGCAGUGAGCUGGCAGAGACAUGUAUGUGGUGCAUGGAUGUGUAGCUGUUUUACUUUCUUCUUGUCUUGACAUUGCUUGAUAGUUGUAAUCAAGUGUCACUAUCAUAUAGGAAGUGUCCAUUGUUUCCAAUCUUCUGUGUAAACAUGCCUUGCCGUGGAGAAAUAUUACUUUACUUGGAGACAAGUGAGGGUUGGCAAAAGCAAAAAAUCCAGUCUUAGAAAAGCCAACUCAAUAAUUCCUUGCAACCAUGUGAGCAAGGAAAAGUAAACAUUGAAAUGAAAGUGGUGUGUGUAUGUGUGUGUGUGUACAUACAUACACACACACAUAGAUAUCUUCACACACACACACACAUAAAGGUUACUGUUUCCUAUCCCCACCUGCCAACUGCUUAUCAAGUUUAUCUUUCUAUUUGUGUGUGUGUGCGUGCGUGUGUGUUUUUCAUGAAGGAAGAUUGCUUAGAAUGUGUGUAGGUAAUCUUGUGUCAUGUAUUUAACGACACACACACACCAUGCAUGCAUGCAUAUAUACAUACAUACAUACUACAUACAUACAUACAUACAUACAUACAUACAUACAUACAUAUGUUUGUAUGUAUAUAUGUAUGAAUGCAUAUAUGUAUCAUCAUCAAUGGCAGCAACAUUAUUUAAUGCCUGUCUUCCACACCUCUUCAGCUGACUCACACCAACUCUCAUGCCAUUCCUCUUACUUUUGAAAUGAAGCCCAAUGUACCGUUAUUAUUUUAUAAGUUAGAGAGUGUGUGUGAAGAAACUAGUACAAGUGUAGAAUAGAAAAGUACUAAAUUAGUGUUUGGACUGAUCAACUUCUUGAACGCCAAGUUCUUAAUCAGGAUAAAGCAAUCCAGCAGAAUAAGAUUUGUCUGUAAGAAAUACAAAGUUCGAGAGAGUAAUAAAGAGUAAAGCUCAUAUGUAUGUGAUUAAGUGUCCAUUGUUUCCAAUCUUCUGUGUAAACAUGCCUUGCCGUAUGGAGAAAUAUUACUUUACUUGGAGACAAGUGAGGGUUGGCAAACACAUGCAAAACACACAAGUCUUAGAAAACCAACUCAAUAAUUCCUUAUAUGCAACCAUGUGAGCAAGGAAAAGUAAACAUUGAAAUGAAAGUGGUGUGUGUAUGUGUGUGUGUGUACAUACAUACACACACACAUAUACACACACAAACACAUAUAUUACUGUUUCCUUAUCCCCACCUGCCAACUGCUUAUCAAGUUUAUCUUUCUAUUUGUGGGACACUCAACAACUGGUUUGGGAGCAUCCGGUGGUGCAGAUGUAUCUCAUUGGGUGAUAAAUAAAUAAAAACAACUCAUUAAAAUUACUGUUCCGCAAUGUAACUUACUGUUUUGUAGAGAGAAAAACCGCCAGACGGAAGAAAAAUCUUCAUAUAUAUAUAGAAGAUCAAAAAUAAAAUUGCAGAAGACAAAAAGAGAAACAAACACAUAAUCCAGCAAAAAAAGCAUUGAAAAUAAUUGUUAACAGAUAUGGAUGUAUAAACGCUCUUGGGCAAGCUGCAUGGCAUGAGUACACGUGCUCACACCAACUCUCAUGCCAUUCCUCUUACUUUUGCACUCAUGAUCACAAACUGAGUUAGUUAUUUACUUGGUGUUUAGAAGAACAGGGAGGUUAAAAGUAAAUUUAAGUCAUCCAAACCUUAAAGUAAAUUAAAUUACAUUAAGUUAAUGGUCACUCAAAAUUCAUUCUCAACCGCAUUGCGCGAAAGUACAUUUAUAUGCAUGCAGACAUCUUGACAGUCGUUCAGAAAUUCUAUUAAUUAUCUUCUCGUUAGUCCACAGAAUAGACAGGGAUUCCUUGGAGCAGAAUACAGCAUCUCCUGGAAAUUACAUUGUAUGUGAUUAAGAAAUUCACUUUGCAAUCAAAUUGUUUUGAGUUCCAUCUUCCUAUAUGGUAUUUAGGGUAAAUGACUUCUUCCAUGGGGUCAGGCUGUGGCAGUACAUUUAUAUACAAGAUUUGUACUCAUACAGAUUCAUCAAAGGAUAUUUUCUGAUUUAUGUCUGCAUGAGCAUUUAUCGUAUUUAUUUGUAUAUAAAGCAUACAUUUACUCCAUUUACUGGCAGUGUUGUGCUAGCUGUACCAUGAGUAUUUCUACUAUUACAAAUUGGUCGAAGUUGGUGAUUAUCAAUGCAGUUUACCUCUCCUUGGUUGGUAUUUAGAUGCAAAUGUUUGCUAGAUCCAGUAGGUGGGUUAUUGAACCUUUGCCACAUUUUGCUAUUGUCUAUGCGAUGCAUAAGCUGCUCUAAAUUAGCAGAGUUGGCAUAGGAUACCUUCAUGGUAUGUUGAUGCUUGUAUGAGCACGUGUAUGUGUGCCAUGCAGCUUGCCCAAGGGCGUUUAUACAACCAUAUCUGUUAACGGUUAUUUUCAAUAUUUUUCUCAUUGGGUUACAUAUUUGUUUCUCCUUUUGUCUUCUGCAAUUUUAUUUUUGAUCUUCUAUAUAUAUAUGAAGAUUUUUCUUCCAUCUGGCUGUUUUUCUCUCAACAAAACAGUAAAUUACAUUGUGGAACAGUCAUUUUAUCAAGUUGUUUUUAUUUAUUUAUCACCCGAUGAGAUACAUCUGCACCACUGGAUGCUCCUGAACCAGUUGUUGAGUGUCCCACAAAAGGAAUUGAUGCUAGAUGUAUAUUCCAUCUUCUGUCCUUCAUUUGUUUUAUAUAUAUAUAUAAGUGUGUGUGUAUAUAUAUGCACACACACACACACACAAACAUUAUGUUUUUUUACUUCUUUCAAUCAUUUGACUGCCACCAUGCUGGAGCACAGCUUUAAAGUGUUUUUAGUUGAAGAAAUCGAACCCAGAAGUUAUUCUUUGUAAGCCUAGUACUUAUUCUAUCGUUCUCUUUUGCCAAACCGCUAAGUUAGGGGGGCACAACAGGCUUCUUUCAGUUUCUGUCUACCAAAUCCACUCACAAGGCCUUGGUCAAGUGAGACUAGCAGAAGACACUUGCCCAACAUGCCAUACAGUGGGACUGAACCUGGAAAUAUGUGAUUGGGAAGCAAGCUUCUUACCACACAACCAUGCCUGCACCUAUGUCACACAGCCAUGCCUCUGUCUAUUAUAUAUAUAUUGGGUCAUCCCAUAAAUAAAGUGUUUUUUUUAUAUACUUCUUUUAUUUUUUAAAAUUAAGAUAAAGUUCUUUUUUAAUUUAAAAUAUACUCACCUUCAUCUUCUACCAUUUAUCUGGUAAGCUUGCAAGGUCCCUCUUCCAAAAUUCACUUGUCUGUGACAAAAAUACUCCUCCAGUACUGUUCUGACCUCAUCUACAGAAUUCAUAUUUUUUCUGUCCAAAUAAUUUUGAAGACUGCUGAAGAGAUGAUAAUCAGAUGGGGCAAUGUCCAGCAGAUAUGGUGGGUGGGAAAUCAUUUCCCAUUCAAACUUCUCCAGUCUUUUGAAUGUCAUCCUUGUUGUAUGCAGCUGAGCAUUAUCCUGAUGGAAGAACUUCUUUCGUCUUGAAACCAAAGAUAGUUGAUUUUCUUCUAGCACUGACUUAAGCCACUCAAGCUGAUCACAGUAGAUCUUGUUUGUUAUUGUUUUGGGGUUUAAAAGUUCAAAGCGGACUAAACCUUUCAUAUCGUACCAAAUCGAUAACAACACCUUAUGUGGGUGAAGGCCUUCUUUAACCUGGGGUGCUGGUGUUUCUCCUUCCCCUACCCACUGUCUUUGGCACUUGAUAUUUUUAUAGAGGACCCAUUUCUUGCCACCAGUCACUAUUCGAUCUAAAAAAGUUCCAUUUAUGAGAUGUGACAGCAAAGAAGAGCACACAUUCACUCUCUGUACACAAUUAGACUUGGAAAGUUUGUGAGGAACCCAUUGUUCCAAUUUGCUAACUUUUCUGAUGGUACACAGGUGUCGACAAAUGGUUGAGUGAUCAAAUCCAAGCUUCUCUGCUAAUUCCUCAACAGUUAUGAUGGGAUUUGUUCCAUCAGGGUUUGCAGGACAUCCUUGCUGAGCUAUACAAGGCUUGUCUUCUAGGGUGUCGUUUCCAGCUUGGAAUUUCUGAAAACACCACUUACACUUAUCAUCCGAUCCCCAUAUACUGAAUUAAUAUUCCCCACACUUUCUGGUGUGUUGUUACCUUUAUUGAACUCAUAAAGCAAAAUAUGCCAAAUAUGAAAUAUGCUCCUUUGUCACUUCUAUUAUAGCUUUGAAAAAAUAACUGUUAAAAUCGAACCACACUCUUCAAAACCUGCACUAAGAAUAAGGACAUAAAAUUACUACCUGCUUUUAUCGCAAGUUGAUACAAGUAGUUUAACCCAUCCCCCUCCUACUUUUAGUUCAUGCAAUUGAAAAAACUGCAUUAUUUAUGAGAUGACCCAAUAAAUAAAUAAAUAAAUAAAUAUAUAUAUAUAUAUAUAUAUAUAUAUAUAUAUCCAGAGAGGUUAAUUUCAUCAUUAAGAACAUGGUGGUAGUAUGUUCUUCUCCAUCUGUAGAUUUUUUAUUACUGAGUUCACUUUGUAAUUUAGAUCUAUCAGUCAGGAGGGGGUUUCUAUUCUUGGUUCAAUGGAAAUUAAAAAAUUGUAUAUGUGGCUGAAGAUUGCUCGACAUUUUAAAACUGAUGUAAUACUUACAGUGUUUAAUAAAAUGAAGUAGCAUGAAACGAUUGUACUACACUACCUUGGAUAUCCUUGUUGCUUAUUUUGAUUAUAAUCACCCCAUUUGAUUUAUAUGGAUAAUACCAUACAAAAUUCUGGUGCCUUCAACUUAAGUACCAUAUUCAUCUGAAUCUAAAUUUUGCUGAACUUAUAUAUAUAUAUAUAUAUAUAUACUAGCAGAAUUUCCCGGCAUUGCUCGGGGCUGAAUUGCUUGAAAGUACUGUUAAUGAUUGCACUGAAUUAUGAUGAUUAUUCAGGCAAAUAUUGAUAUAAGUUUACGGUGGGAGAUAAGGACUUAACGAUCAAACGUGUGCCAUUGCAUUGUUUUGGGGGAACCAAAUUUCUGAUGAGCAUUAUAGGGGCACCAACUUUAAGUUUGAGAAAGUGUGGUGGUAGUCCGGGGUGCUCAAAGGAAUUGAGUACCUCUAUUGGAUAGUUGAUGACGUCCUCUGGGUCAGGAGUUGUAUCGAUAGACUGAUAUACAUAGACUUUCCCAGGAAUGAGUUUUAGCAUUUCAUCAUUAAUAUGGUGAACAGUUUUAUUCCUCGGGGCCAGUAUAGCCUUUUUGCCAAUCCAAUCCAUAUUCUGAAAAUUAGCUUGUAGAUCUGGGAACACUGCAUCUCUGAGAUCAGAAGGCAUCUUAACAAUGGUACAAAUGGAAUCGAUGGCAAUAUUACCAUUUUCAUCCCCUGGUAUUUUGCCUUUGCCAAGUGCAAGGAGGGUGUGAGGAAAUGCUGCUGAUGUGAUAUUACAUCGCAUAUGAGCACGCAUAUUGGUGUGAAGUUUGGGAGUUACUUCCCUUUAUUAAAAAAAAUAUGCAUUAAAAUGGAAAAAAAUGAUGCUAAAUUAUUUGUAAAAUCAUAGACUCAUCGUAGACGCACGCUAAUACCCAGAAGGGCUCGAUAUGAAUCACGACUAUAAGAUACCCGGUUUUGGUUAAACUGCAUCGCAAAAUGUGGGAGUAGUUAGGAAUCUAAAUCGGAGUAGACAGACACACAACCUUUCUUUUAUAUAUAAAUAUUUUCGUCCUAAAAAACUUUGUAUGGAUUGAAUGGUUACCUCUAUGGAAAUAUAUACACGCACAUUAUACAUACAUGUGUGUAUAGAUGAAUAUAUAAAUACAUUUAAAUAUCUAUAUACACUUUUGGGCGAUCUUUCUGUUUCUUAGAGAUAACUUUAGAUCUUAUUUUCGUCCUAAAAAACUUUGUAUGGAGUGAAUGGUUACCUCUAUGGAAAUAUAUACACACACGUUAUACAUACAUGUGUGCAUAGAUGAAUAUAUAAAUACAUUUAUAUAUCUAUAUACACUUUUGGGCGAUCUUUGUGCUACUUAGAGAUAACUUUAGAUCUUAUUUUCGUCCUAAAAAACUUUGUGCGGAGUGAAUGGUUACGUCUAUGGAAAUAUAUACACACACAUUAUACAUACAUCUGUGUAUAGAUGAAUAUAUAAAUACAUUUAAAUAUCUAUAUACACUUUUGGGCGAUCUUUCUGCUACUUGGAUAUAGGUCUUAUAUUCGUCCUAAAAAACUUUCCUGUCACACACUCACGCACACGCACACACACACACACACGCACCCUCACACACAUGCACACAUACACACACACACUCACACACACGCACGUUAGCUUGCAAUUUUAUUUAUAUAUUUGCGUGUCUAUGUGUGUAAAGAGGAAGUGGGAGGCAGAGUGAAAGAGUCACUCACUACAGAAAGUGAAUUACUUUCACUUUAUUCGUUGCACACUGUGUGUGUGCGUUUGCGUGUGCUGUAUCCCACACUAAGAGAAGCAUUUGACUCAUACACCACAAUGUGAGUUUUCUCUAAAUUUUGCUUAAUUGGGGUUGAAAUUUUAAAAACUGGACCUGGCACGACCCGAUGCAUUCUACUCUUAAAAAUGCUAGGUAAAUUGUAAUUGAAGAAAUCCUAUAUUGUAGAUUUCUAUAAGAUACAAAGGGAGGCAGAUAAAAUCUGCCUUUUAUAAUAAGAUAUAUAUAUAUAUAUAUAUAUAUAUAUAUAUAUAUAUAUAUAUGGUUAAGCUUCCUUGCUUCUAUCCAAGUUCCAUUUUCAGCAUGGAAAUGCUAUUAUAUAUUUUAUUGGCAUAGGCACAAAUGUGGGGUAGAAGUUUGUUUCCCCACCACAUGGUUCCAGGAUUAGUCUCAUUGCAUGGCACUUGGGCAAGUAUCUUCUACAGUUGCCUCAGGCCAACCAAAGCCUUGUGAGUGAUUUAGUAGACACAAACUGAAAUUAUUAUGUGUGUGUAUGUAUAAAUGUGUGUGUGUGUGUGUGCGUGUGUACAUGUGCAUGUACGUGUUUGUCCCCUACCACUGCUAGACAACUGGUGUUGGUUUGUUUACAUUCCUGUAGUCUAGCAGUUCAGCAAAAGAGACUGAUAGAAUAAGUACCAGGGUUAAAAAAUAAGUACUAGGGUUGAUAUCAUUUGACUAACCCCUUCAUGCGUGUUUGUGUAUAUGUGUUUAGGGUGUGUGAUUUUGUAUGUAUGCAUGCUUCAGCAUAACAACAGUCUCAUAUCUGAAGCAUGUAAAAAGUAAAAGGUAUAUAUAUAUAUAUAUAUAUCUUUCGUAUUAUUUAAAACAAUUUGACUUGGCCUCAUGUGACUUAAGGCUUCGUAGGCUCCUUAUAGAAACUUAGUUCAUUGGGGUGUUUCCAAAAGGAGAGAUGAAGAAAGUCCAAGAUGGCUCCAGGAAAUAUGGCUGCUGUUGGUCAAGGUGGGUCGCAUGGUGUUGUUAGAAGUGAGAUUAACGUUCCAGCAUACCUGUUCUUCCAGGCAAAGAUGCACACAUUCAUAUGUAUGCAUAUAAAUACAGGAAUGUACAUGCUCAUGUUCACCGAUCCUCUGUAAUCACACAUAUUGUAAACACAUAGAUGCACAUAUGCAUAUACAACAAGCACUAAUACGCACAUUCGCAUGUGCACACAUGUACACACACACACUCUUACUCAUACGAAUGUUACUCAUGCAGCUGAUAUACACAGCUGACACACACACACCUAUACAUUCAUACACACAAGUAGUCACAGAUGGCUGAUAGGCACCCACACCCAUACACACACACACCAGCAGCCAUCUACAUAUACACCAAUGAACUGAUGCCAGGAGCUCUUACCCACACACCCACCAGCUGACACACACAUGUCCCUCCCCCUCACACACACAUAGCUGAUGCAUAGACAUCAGAAACCCACCUCUAUACAUUCAUACAUCUGGUAUAUACACACACACCCUCACUGGCCAUGGCCAUGUAUUUAAUGACCAUGUGACACCAUGUGACCUGCCUUGACCAACAACAGCCCAAUUUCUGAUAGCCAUCUCCCCAUUUGUUUAACUGCAUCCCAACAAGCUAGGUUUCUGUAAGAAGCCUGCAAAACUUUAAGUCACACGGGGCUAAAUCAAACUGUCUUAAAUAGUAAUAUAUGUAACUGCCAAUAAAUGUGUUGAGUGCAUCUUUCUUUCAUUAGUCCACUCACAAGUUUGUGUGUAUGUAUAUAUGUAUGCAUGCAUAUAUGUGUGUGUAUAUAUAUAUAUAUAUAUAUAUAAUAUAUUUGAACAAGUAAAUAUAUACUAGCUGAAUUACCCAGUAAUACCCAGAAAAGCAGGGGUUAUUUCCAUUUCCCAUUCCCAUUACACUAUUUCAUUUCCUAUCCUAUUCGCUGUUCAGUUCCUGUUAUAGUUCUGCUCUCAUUACUAUCUCCAAUCCUAUGUCAAUAUAAUUAAGCCAUUAACUAUAUGGUUGAGGAAAAAGUUUGUGCGCUGUGUUAAAAUAAGGAUUUUUUAAUGCAAGAAUUUACUCAAAAACAACAACUAUUCUUCAAAAUAAAGACCAUCGUUUUCCAUGGAUUUGGUCAAAGUACCAAUCCUUUGGGUUUGUAUCUAAAAAUUCUUGACAAGCUUCUUUGAAUGAUUCAAAUCGACAACCUUUCAUAAAGUGCUGCAUUGACUGGAAGAGACCGUAGUCAGAUGGAGCAACGUCUGGUCUAUAGGCUGGAUGCAGCAGAACUUCCAUACUGUCCAAAUCUUCAAUCUUGUUGCUGGUCUUUCUGGUGGUAUGUGGCUUUGCAUUGUCUUGUUGAAACAAAGCACGUUUUCGACAAACAAGUCUUGGGUACUUUUCAACCAGCAUAUCAUAGACUCGAUCAAGUUGCUCACAGUAAAGUUCAGCAUUGAUGGUAUGACCAUUCAGCACACAUUUGGCACAUGAACUUUUUCCUCAGUCUAAUAUUUUAUUGAUCUUUAUGGUAAUAGUUUAUUGCUAAAAAUAGAUAUUACAAACUAUUAAUAUGAUUAGUGGAUGAAUAAGGAAUGUCCCUAUAUUAUUUUGAUAAACAAAUAUGCAUCUGAAUAAAAUAAAUGAGUUGAUUAGUUAUACUGGGAAAGCGGGGAUUAUUCCCAGUUCCCUUUUACCGUUGCACUGUUCCAUGUCCUAUCCCAUUCCUGUUCAGUUCCCAUUUUAGUUCUGCUCCCAAUCCUAUGUCAGUAUAUAAAUUUUAGAAUCAGUUAGGUGUAAUUAAGCCAUUAAAUAUUUUAUUAACCUUUAUGGUAAUAGUUUAUUGCUAAAAAUAGGUAUUACAAACUAUUAAUACGAUUAGUGGGUGAAUAAGGAAUGUCCCUAUAUUAUUUUAACAAGCGAAUAAGCAUCUGAGUAAAAUGAAAUAGAUAAAUAGAUAGAUUUACAAAUACAUUGGCAGUAUUGUACAAUAGUCCAGGUAUUGUAGCUGGUAUUGUUACAUGUCAUAGCUUAUCGUAACUGAUUUGUAAACAUGUACUACAGCUCUCCCCUCACACACACACACGCACAAAUAUGUGAACAUGCACACACACACACACACACACAUACUUUCAUAAACCUAGAUAUACUAUGGCCAAAUUACUAAGGCCUCAAACAAUCAGCUGAAGGCUUUAGAAUUAUAUAUGAACACCUAUUUGAGUAAUCUUCUAUCUAUCUAUUCAAAAAUAUUUCAUUUGUAAAUUUUGUUUUCUAUCUAUUUGUCUAUUACUAUUUAUAUAUAGCUUAAGGUGGCAAGCUGGUAGAAUCAUUAUCAGGUCAGGCAGAAUGCUUGACAGCAUUUCAUCCUUCUUUAUGCUCUGAAUUCAAACUCCACCAAGGUUGAUCUUGCCUUUCAUCCUUUCAGGACAGAUAAAAUAUGUAUCAGUCAAGCACUGGGGUUGAUGUAAUCGACUAUCCCCCUUUCCCAACCUUGCUGGCCUUUUGCCUAAAUUCAAAACCAUUGGAUUUGGUCAAAGUACCAAUCCUUAGAAUCAGCGAAGGGAGUGGCUAGAUUAUUUCAAUGUCUAAGUCUUUGUUUCUGCAUUUGUUUGCUCGCAGAAUGAGUUUCACCUUCCAUCCUCCAUAUAGCAGCUUAAGAAACAUCUUUCAUCAUUAAAGUCCUAACAAUGAACGUUUUUGUACUGAUUGGAAUAUCUCCAAAUUGUGCAUUUAUGCUCACUGGCUUGUUAAAUGAAAUGAUAAACACUUUCAUUCAAAGGUAUUACCAGUUUCUCUAAGAAUUCUCUUUAUUGUCACUGAUAUCACAUAAAAGGCACCCAGUACACUUUGCAAAGUGAUUGGUAUUAGGAAGGGCAUCAACCCAUAGAAACUAUGUCAAAGCACACGUUGAAACAUGUGCAGUUCUCUGGCUGACCAAUUCCUGUUGAAACAUCUAACCCAUGCCAACAUGGAAGACAUGUUAAAUGAUGAUGACAAUGAUCAUACAACUUUUUUAUUUUUACAACCACUCUACCUUCAGUGUUAAAUCCUUUCACUAUUCUCAAAAGUUGUCUUGUCACAAAUUUGACCACCAAACAGAUCUAUAAGUGAAGAUGUUCAAACUGUGACCAUCCUGCCAUUACCCUAUGAGCUGAAAACCCAUCUACAAGGGUUGGCUGAAAAGUUCAUAAGUUGACCAAAAUACUCUCAAGGAAUGUGAUGAAGUGAAGUUUAUUUUUCAACAUAGUCCCUCUUGCAGUCCACAUGCUUCUUCCAUUGGUGUUGCAGCACUUGGAUCCCAUUGGUGAAGAAGCUUUCAUCCUGUUAAUCGAAAAAGUCAUCAACAGCAGAUAUGACAUCAUCAUCAUCACUGUGAUACUAGUUUCCAGUCAAGUGUUUUUUCAUGUUGGGGAACAGAUGAUAGUAAGUUGAGGCGAAAUCAGGAGAAUAAGGAGGCUAAUCAACCAGUUCAAAGCCACAGUCAUGCACAGUAGCCAUUGGAACCAAGGUCUUGAGUGCUGAAGCAUUGUCCUGGUGAAACAAGACUCCUUCCAUCAGUUUUCUUUGUCAUUUGAUCUUAAUAGCCUUUUGUAAGUGCUUCAGCAAGUUGGCAAAGUACUUUCCAUUGAUGGUGUGGACCUUUUGAAGACAGUCAAUAAACAAUAAACACAAUGCCUUUCGCAUCACAAAAAAACUACUGCCAUCACCUUCCUUGCAGAUGAAACGACCUUUGGAUCAGGUAAGGAAGGGUGUUUCCACUCCGAAGAUUUUCUCUUCAUCUCUAGCUCAAAGAGAUGAAGCUAACACUUAUACUGAGUUAGGAAAGAUUCAAGGAAACCAGCUGGAUUUGCUUCAAACAAUGUCAUAUUUUCCCAUGAUAUGAUCAGUCUGGUGCACUUUUGAUCAGGUGUCAGAAAUUGUGGCACCCACUGAGCAGAGACCUUCAUCAUGCCAAGUUCAUUGUGCAAAAUAUUCUAAAUUCUCACACAGGAUAUUAUCAUCAUCAUCAUCAUCAUCGUUUAAUGUCUGCCUUCCAUGCUAGCAUGGGUUGAACAGUUUCACAAUAGCUGGCCAGGCAGAAGCCUGCACCAGACUUCUGUGACUGUUUUGGCAGGAUUUUUACAGAAACAAUACUUGUAGAGCAUUCUCCACCAUUGCUAAUUUGGUCACCUAGGUAACAGAAACUAUCUACAACUUCAAAAGAGCUUCCUGGGCAUUUGAGAGAAUUUAAGUCAUGUGUGCUCUUAGUAUUUAUUGUUCCUGCACAUCUGCCACAUACAAAGACUACUUUAUCUGUUAAUCUACCUGUGAUUCCACUGCACCUCUUAUGUGUCCAUACUUUACACUAGGAUCAGUGAAUGGACUUUCUUCCAACCCCUUUCCUACAUACUGAACAGAGCUAUUUACCUAAUGAAAAAUGAGUUUUAUCUUCUUACUAACAACAACUUUGGCCUUAGCUCAGUUAACUUUAAGGCCCUUUGGUUCCAGGUUUUGUUUCCAUACCUGGAAUUUCUUCUUUAAUUCUGCUAAAGAUUCUGCAAUAAGAGUAAGGUAAGAGCAUGUAAUAGUUCCCAUGGGCACCCAGUUUUGAAUUCCUCUGUUAUAGCUUGGAAGACUAUAAUGAAUAAGAGUGGGUUGAGAACUGAGCCUUGGUGAACCCCUACCUGUAUGCUAAAUUCAUCACUAUAUUCAUGGCUGACUCCCAUCUUACUGACAGCACCACUGUAUAUACCUUAAGGCGGUGAGCUAGCAGAAACGUUAGCACGCCGGACGAAAUGCGUAGCUGUAUUUCGUCUGCCGUUACGUUCUGAGUUCAAAUUCUGCCAAGGUCGACUUUGCCUUUCAUCCUUUCGGGGUUGAUAAAUUAAGUACCAGUUACACACUGGGGUCGAUAUAAUUGACUUAAUCCGUUUGUCUGUCCUUGUUUGUCCUCUCUGUGUUUAGCCCCUUGUGGGUAGUAAAGAAAUAUGUAUAUACCUUGUACAGCUCUAACAAGUCACUCCCCUACUCCUAACUUUCUUAGAGACCACCAUAUAACAGAGCAGGGAACUCUGUCAAAAGCUUUCCCCAGAUCGACGAAGGCUAAGUACAAAGGCUUACUUUUGGCCAAGUACUCUUCCGCAGCUGUCUCACUCGGAAGAUAGCAUCUGUGGUAAUCUUCCCAGGUACAAAACCAAACUGCAUCUCAUCUAUUUAAUUCUGUUUCUAAUUAAUUCAUCUAUAACCCUCUCAGUAACUUUAAUGACUUGGUCUAGCAAUUUAAUACCUCGGUAUUUGUUUCUAUCUAAGGCAUCACCUUGUAGCAGCUAACUAUAAUACUACUAGAUCAGUCAUUGAGGAUGGUGCCUUCCUGAAUAACUUGAUUAACUAUAUGGGUGACUAAACUGUAUCCUACACCACUGGAAAUUUUAAUCAUUUUGGCACUGAUUCCCUGUCUUCAUGUCCUUAAUUAUUCUUCUAUCAACUCUGAUGACUGGUUCUUCAAUUGGUUCGAUAUUUGGUAGACUCCCCUUCUCCCAUUCAUUUUCCACAUUUAGUAACCUUUCAUAAUGAGACUUCCAUGCAUCUUUCUUCACUGAGUCACUAAGAGCAAGCAUACUAUUAUCCAUUCACACACAUUUAUCACACACCACAUCUCUAUUUUGUCUGAUACACUGCUUUGCAAUCCUGAGCAAUGGCUAUUUGAUUUAUAGUAAAUUGCCUGUGAUGAAAAUGAUCAAUGUUUUCCUCAGUGGGGGCAGUUGCAUGACAUCCAGACUUUGUCAUCUUCAAGACUCUCCCUUCUUCUAAAUUCAGCUGCCCAUGUUUGCACUGUUGAUAAAGCUGGAGCAUCAUCCCCUAAAGUAGCAACUAUGUCAGCAUGAAUGUCAUUGGGGGCUAAACCUUUUUUCUGCAGGUACUUGAUAACAGCACAAUGCCAAAUUUUGUCUAUUUUCAAGAGAAGUCACUACUAGUUAAGAGAAUUGUUAGUGCGUUGGACCAAUAUUUAGUGGCAUUUUUUCCAGCUUUUUACAAUGUUAGUUUCAAUUUUGCCAAGGUCAAUUUUGUCUUCCAUCUUUUGGGAGUUGAUGAAAUCAGUACCAGUCAAGUACUGGGGUUGAUGUAAUGAACUUGCACCUUUCCCUCAAAACUGCUGGCUUUGUGCCAAAAUUAUAGAAGAUCAUUAUUAUUAUUAUUAUUAUUAUUAUUAUUAUUAUUAUUAUAAAAAAAAUGAAAAAAACAACACUUUUGUGACCUUGUAAAUUGAUCUUUCGGAUUUAUAUUUGUAUUCAUCUCUGGUAAAUGAAUCUUGUUUAUUCUCCCAAUUGGGUUUUUCUUUAUUGCAUCUAAAAUCUUAUUGACUAAAAAAUAUUUGUCUGGCUGAAUAUGAAGAUGAUCUCAUUUGUGAAAGGUGUCAACCUUCAACCAACUUUACUUAUAUAUGCACACAAUCUUUAUAGAUAAAAUUCAUAUCAUAAUAUGGAUAUAUUUUCAGCUUUCUAUAUUAAAUUCUCAUCCUGUUUGAAUAAAGAAUAUAUAGAAAAACAUUUUAUGUUGAUGGGUUUUAUUGACAGGCCCACCAUACAGAUAUUAGGAUUUAUUUUUCUUUACUUCCUAGUAAAAAGAUAUGUAUAUGCUUGCAUGAAUCAUAAACAUUUGCUUCAUAUUUACUUGUAUAUAUUGGGCAGGUCGCCAUAUAUUCAAUUUCCAUGGGAUUUUAUCUUUAACAUUUUAUCCUUAAAACUAACUACAUUUUCUCAAUUUUUCUAAAGCCUUCUUUUACUGCCUUCUUGCUAAUCUUUUAGUAAAUAAUAAUAUUAAAUUACUCAUCUGAUUCUAAUUUCUGAACAAUAUGUUCAUGGUGUUUUUGUUCAUUUACACAAGGCAUUUGAUACUAUGCACACUUUGUUAAUUAAUGUCCCUGUAAUAUUAGAAAUAUAUCAAUUACUAUGUCUCUCUAUUCUAUUUUGUGGUGCACUUUACAAGUACAUUGAUUUCAUUAUGAUGCUAAUUCACUUGUCUAAGAAAUAUCUAAAACAAUAAAAUAAAUAAAUAGUUCUUUCUAUUAUAGACACAAGACCUGAAAUUUGAAGAUGGAGAGGGGCUAGUCAAUUAUAUCAACCCAAGUGCUCAACUGGCACUUAUUCUAUUGACCCCAGAAGGAUGAAAGGCAAAGUUAACCUCAGCAUCAUUUGAACUCAGAACAUAAGAAGAAAUUCCAUUAAGCAUUUUCUUCAGUGUGUUAAGAGUUCUGCCUGCUCACAACCCUAAAUAAUAAUCAUCUCAAAUUUUUGUAACAAAGCCAGUAAUUUUAGGGAUAGGGGAUUAGUUGAUUACAUUGACCCUAGUAUUCAACUGGUACUUAUUUUAAUCACCCUAAAAAGAUAAAGGCAAAGUUGAACACAGCAGUUUUUGAACUCAAUGUAAUGAGUCAGAAGAAAUGUAACUAAGCAUUUUGUCUGACAUGCUAAGUGGCAAAGUAGCUGAGUUCCUUUUGAGUGUUGGGCCUCAUGGAGGCAAUGACUGAGACCUUUGGCAUUAUGUCAUGUUAGAGAAGAUCCAUCAAGCCAAGCAAAAUCGCACUCAUGACAGAUACCGGUAUCACGCAAAUGGCACUCAUGCCAGUGGCACGUAAAAGCACCCAUUACACUCUCAGAAUGGUUGGCAAUAGGAAGGGCAUCCAGCUGUAGAAAACCAUCCCAAAUCAGACUGGAGUCAGGUGCAGCCUUCUAGCUUACCAGGCCUGAUCAAAUUGUCCAACCCAUGCCAGCAUGGACAAUGGAUGUUAAAUAAUGAUGAUGAUGAUGAUGGUACUGAUUCUUCCAGUUCGCUGCUUUAAUGUAAAAGAAUAAAAAAGACCAUGUAUGUGAGAUUGUGUCAGUGGCUGCAGGUUCAUACCCCAAUAGUUUGAUGUAAAAUACAAAAUAACCACACAGUUAAACUUUAACUGUGUGGUUACUUUGUAUUUUACAUCAAAUUAUUGGUUAUGAACCUGCAGCCACUGGCACAAUCUCACAUACAUGGUCUUUUUGAUUCUUUUACAUUAAAGCAGCGAGCUGAAAGAAUCAGUACCAUCAUCAUCAUCAUUUAACAUCCAUUGUCCAUGCUGGCAUGGGUUGGACAAUUUGAUCGGAGCUGGAAGGCUGCACCAGACUCCAGUCUUUUAAGCACACAGCCAAAACAUUUUUGUCAGCCCUCUGAUGAUCUUGCUAGCUUACCACCAUGAAAAACAAAACAAAACAAAACAAUAAUAAUAAAAUACCUUUACCUUAUCUCAUUUCUUUACCACCUUCUAUCUUGAUUAAUAUAUUUAGAUUUUAGGAAAAUUUCCAUCUUCAGUUGGAAUAUACCCUAGGUUCGAUUCUCACAUACCUUCUUUAAUAAAUAUUUCUUUUUACAAAUUUUUCCCCAUUUUAAAAGAUAAAAAUUCUCUUCUUAAUUAAGCUUGUUGUUGAGCAUAAGCUCCUGGUCAUCCCUGAUUGAGCAGACCUAUGAUGAAAGGUAUUCUACCCUGACCAUCCCUUCUUUUUUCAUUGUAUCAAAAACUAUAUUGUCUAGUAUGGCCUUCCUUUUUUUUAAGAUGAUAUAAUGUGGUUUGAGAGUGAUUUAUCUAGUGUUUGCCUGCAGGUCAAGCAACUGUGCAGAACCUUCCUCAUUAGCUCUAGAAUAGAUGGCAUGCAUUGGUAAUAAAGUAAAAUAUAUAUAAACAAAAACUGAAGAAAAAGCUUGCCUCUAUCUAUGCUUAAUGUGUUUCAAAUCCAUUUACAGUAUUGAUGGUCAUAAUAAUUUACUGUUCAUCAACAUCAUUGUCAUCAUCAUCAUCGUCAUCAUCAUUUUCUAUGCUUGCAUGGGUUAGGUGGAAUUUGUUGAGCCAGAUUUACUACAUCUGGAUGCUCUUUCUGUCACCAACCUUCACCUGUUUACAAAAAGGUAAUAUUUCCCCAUGACCAAAGAUGUUUUACAUAGAAUAUUGGAAAUGAACAACCAGCCAUCAUGUGAUGCCUAGACAAGGGUACACACAAACACACACACACACAUAUAUCAUGGCUUCUUUCACUUUCUGUCUACCAAAUCCACUCAUAAGGCUUUGAUCAUCUCAGGAUUAUAGUAGAAAACAGUUGUCCAUGGUGUCACACUGUGAGACUUAACCCAAGACCAUAUGGUUGAGAAGCAAGCUUCUUAACACAUAACCACGGGAAAAGAAAAUUAAAAAUACUCUUGUAAUGAUAAUUCAGAAAUAAUUCUUGAAACAUUUAGUGUUUAUUUUGUGUUUAUAAACAAUAAAAUAUUUCUGGUUGGUUUGUAAUGUCAUGAAAUUCAUAAAUAACUAAUCUCAUUUUUUCCCCAUGAGUCUUCUUUACUCAAGAGCAAAUGUGUGUCUAAUAUACAUCUAUAUUAGAAGAGCAAACAUAUAUCUUCUAUAGAUAUUUGUUGAUUGCUGAAACAAUGGCAUAGAAAACUCAUCCUUUUAGAAUAUUUGUUUAGAUCAAAGUUUAGAUAAAAUGUCUGUAGUUGCUGGCAUAAGUAAAUAUCAAAUGUUUGAUAAUCAUUUAUGUUCAUUAGGUUUUCUGGUUGUUUUCAUGGGGGUAUUUACUGCAGUUAUGAUCAAAUUAUAUGUUUUGUAAUAUUUGUUGCUCUAGAACUUCUUAUUGUGAAGAAUGCCAAGUAGAAACACUUUUCAGUUUCUAAUCACUUAUUAAAAAGAUUGUUUGUGGUUGUUAUGAAACUUAACACAUUUAACUGAAGAUUUUGCUCCUUUAGAGAAUUAGAAACCGUUCAAAGAUUACUGAUAGUUCAGAAUUAAGUAUUUUGUAAGUUGAAAAUGAGAGGAAGAUUUGAAUCUUACCCUGAAAAGCUACAUUAAUCUCUUGACUCUACUUUAGUAUGACUAUUGAAACUUGUUGCAAACAAAAAGCUAGAAUAUAUUCAAGGAUAAAGUUUUUAAAAUUUAAUGCUAGAAAAUAGUUUUAAUAUUGUUUUGCUUUAUUUUUUUUGUGUACAUGUGUGUUUAUUUUAAGUUUAAACUAUAAAAGGAAAAUAAAUGAAGAAAAUAAAAUGUAAAAAUGGAAAUAAUUUAUAAAAUCAAAUCAACUUAUUAACUUACUAUUUCUUCUUACUACUGCAAAUAGUAUUUCUAAGACUAGUUUAAGCUAGCUCAUUGACAGAUUACAUUAUUGUUAUCAAAAUUGGCAUGAUAACAGUAUAUGAAUUUUUUUUUAAUUGAACCUCCUGAGAAAAUUAUUUGAUGGUUAAAAAAGAGAAAGGAAUCAUCAAUACUGAUCUACCUAAAAUGUUGUGUUAGCUAGGUAAUAUUGUUGUUUCUUUUUCCUUCUUUUUUUACUAUCUAAUAAUUUUUUCAGUCAGUUUAGUUUAAAAACAUUUCAUCACAUCAAUUAUGUUAACAAUAAUGUAAUUUGUUAAUAAUGAUUUAGCUUAAAACUAGUCUUAGAAAUCUCUACAGUAUUAAAAAAAAAAAGGGCAGUAAAUUAAUAAGUAGAUUUUACUUUAUACAUUUUUAUUGCCAUUUUUUGUGAUGAUGAUGAUGAUGAUUGCAUUUUUACAGUGUUCGGCUAAAAGAUUAAUUGUAGAUAUUUUCUUACUAGGAGGUGAAAAUGAGAGGAUGGUAUAAAAAAACCCAGAAUGAUCUACAAAAUAUUAAACAAUGCAUGAGAUACAGGUUCUUCAUUUUCUCUUUAUAUGUUCAAAAGUAUUUACAAUAGCUAUCAUACUUGUACAACAACUGAUUUCUGGAACUGAAAGAUCAUGGUUGAUUAAAGGCAUGAUAGGAAAUAUUUUGGUAGAAAACAUUUUCACAGAUAAAUAACAUCCUGAUAGAAAACUCUUGAUAGAAAACAUCUUCACAAAUGAAUCUUCAAUAAAUUGCAUUAUAUACUAUGUGAUAUAAUGUAUAAUUAGUAUUGGUCACCUUUUGUCAAAUACCACUGCAUUCUUUCUCUAAUAUAAGAUGUCUGUUUAUAAGAUGUCUACAACUAAGUCAUGUGUUCUACUAGAACACAUGACUUAGUUGCUCCUAAUGCUCAAUGUAAUUAAGUUGUCUGGAAAUCCAAAUACUCCAAUUCUUUAUUAUAUACUCUUAUUAACUUGAGUUUUAACUCAAAACAGUCUUAACUGUUGUACUAUGUUUGUAUAUACAUGUUACAUCAUAUGUUAUUAGUUUACAGAUACAAUGUAUAAUUAACCAUGAUAGCCACUGCUAUGAGAAUAUCUUGUCUAAAAUCAGUAAUUGAAGGUAGUCUCUACUGAUUACAUACAUUGCAUCUUUAUUUGUGGCCACCCCUUCUCACAUUUAUAUGGCAUUCCUUUCUUUUCAUUCCAUCACCUCAACAAUUUCCAGCAGUUACUAUCUCCCUAACUUGCUUUUACAUUAGCAUUCUCAUAUCUGCCAACUUCAACUCAAACUACUAUUUUAGUUAUGGCUCCCUUUUUCAUACUACUCAUGUCCUUGUCUGACUGCUAUUUUGAAUAAUAUUUCAUAAAGAUUAUCAUUUAAUAUAAUUUGAGAAAAUAGUUUAUCCAUAAAAAGUUAAUUAAUACUUUGCCUUGAGACUGUUUUGUUGAUGGGGAAUAUUAUGUUUCAUUACUUUGGACAAUGGUCCAAAUUCAUGUUUGAAGUAUAACAAUAUUGAAUUUGUUUUGGUUACACUAUUAAGUCCAGCAAUAAAUACUGACACAAAGACGAAAUUGUUUAAAACCAAAACAAACAUUGUUUAUAUUUGAUUGAAUUGAUAGUAAGAAUUAAAUAUGAACAUUAGUAUACGAGAAUAAACACAUUGUAUGAUAAGUGCAUUUCCUCUAGAAAAAUAGAAGAGAAAAUUGUUGAGAUAUGAUAGAAAUAUGUUUGUCAAUACAAAUAUAGUGCAUGAAAAUGUUGGUUUAAGAGAGGAUCAUAAACAAGUUCUUGGCACCUUUUCAGCUAGAGUAGCACAAACAAUUGACAGAGAAAUACUGCCUCUGAAAUAUAUUCUGUGAAAGUGAUCAUAUGGAGAGCGGUUUAAGAAUCAUGUUAAAGACCACAUUCUAGAAGAUUCUCUGUUGACAAAAUGAAACUGCCAAGACAUCUAAGAUAUUUCUACUAAAUGAGCAAAUUUGAAAAUGUAUUAAUCAUUUUAAAUUCAUAAAUGCUUUAAAAUUCUAAGUAAUAGCUAUAUUAACCCUUUGAAAAUAAGGAUUAAAGAACAUACUAUUUUCUGCCAUAUAAAAAAAUUAGUGCGGGGUUUAUCCAUACAUACUAAAAUUUCCUAUCAAUUGAGUGGGGAAGUGGUUCAUUGUAGGAUCUUCAUUAGGACAAACCUUAUUGUAUUUAUUCUCCCAAAACUUUGUUUUUGUAAUAGUGUGUUUUUUGUUUUAGAUCUCUUGAUGGGGUUUACAUAAUAAAUAAAUUCAUUCUUUGUUGAAUUCAUUUUUCACUAUUUUGAUCUAAUAAGACUCAACUACAAUUAGUUCUGCUUUGUGAUAGUGCUGACAAAAAAGUGAUUGCAUUUUAUGAUUGAAUAUAACUGAAGUAUUUUGUUGUUGCAGCAAAGACAGAUAAAAUGAUCUGUGCAUGCCAGUCUCAUUGCCUUUGAUUUUUAUAUAUACCAAACCAAGUUUGGCUAUCAAUAUCAAUCACAGCUAUUCUAGCAUAUAUUUGUGUAUUUUAUAUUUUAUUUUUUGGUUGGGGAGAAUAUAUUUUUUAAAAUGGUGUUAUGGUAUACUGAGUUGUAUUUCUUUGUGGCUGUUUGAACAUGUAAUGAGAACUAUAAAGGUUGUUCCAGUCUGCAUUAAUGAUUUGUACUUGAAGUAUUUAGAUGUAACUUCUACUUUAUCAUUCUGCUUGCUCCAACGAUCUCCAAAUUGGGAAAUGACAAGAUUUAAAGCAAUAUACCUACAUUUAAGACCCCAGCUAUACAAACAUGUAACACAUUUUGCUAGUAGUAAAGAUAUUAUAGCUUCAGCAACACCAAUGUUAGAUCAAUAUAUAAAGUUAAAUUCUCAGGAAAGUUUGAGUUGUGUGCUAUUCUUACAAUAUAACAGUAGUUUGUGCUUCAUUCUGCAAACAAUUAUUCUGCUUAGAAAGCUGUUUUUACUGGCAGUAGCAUAAAGAUCAAUAAACAUUCUAUAUUAUUAGAAAGUCCAUUAUAGGCUCAACAAUCAACAAAAUAAUGUAAUUUAUUAAAAAGCAAUUUUCAUUUGCAUAUUGUUAUCUUCAUUAUAAUACAUAAUAUUAUGAGAUGAAGAAAUUUCAAAGUAUAGAAUGGAAGGUAAGAAAAAAGGAAAAUUCACCUGACUGGAAAAUAUUGCAAAAUAUUUUUAACAUAUUGCUUUUUAAAAUUUUGAAUUUAUAACUUCAGUAACAAACUAUAUUAUAUGUAAUAGCUAUUAGUCACUAAAAGUAGAAGUAUCAGAUAAAUUCUUUUGGAUUGAGGUAACCUUUAAAGAAUUAACUGAAAUGGCAGCAAAUAGGAUGAUGCAAAUAUAUUUAACCUAUUCAACCCAUUGUCAAUUGCAGAGAUAAAUUUUAGAGCUUGGGGAUACUAUUACUAAUAAAAUGAAGUAAUAUGAUAUAGCUGAUUUAUGAAAGUUAUAAUGUGAUUGGAGUGAAAUAAAAAUGAUAUUGAUGUAUAUUUUUUAGGCUAAAAAUUAGAUAAGACUAGGCUCAGAUUGAUAAUGAUUGAAGGUUUUAUUAGCAAGCAGAUGCUCUACUUAUUUUCUGAAAAGUCACAGUCUAGAAGAAUGCUUCACAAAAUGGGCAGUACUAUUCUUUUGUGUGGCGGAUUAUAUAUACAGGUACUGGUGACAAAGGGGUAAUUGGAAUAGAGCAUUAGAUACAUCUGCACAAUGUUUUAAUAUUCACUUCAAAAACAAUAUUCUAAAUGUAAUAUGAUAAACUUCUUGUUAGCUGCACUUACAAUAGAACAACAGUAUCAGCAAUGAAUAUUUUCUAGUUUUCAUAUGAAAUCUUUUUAUUUGAAGUAUUUGUUGUGUAGCUCCAAUCAGCUCUGUUGAAGCAGACCUAUAGUACAUAGUUGACUGAUUGACUAAGUAUGACCCACAGAUCUAUCUUUUCAUUCCACUGCAUAGCUGAUGUCAAGGUAAAUUUUGUCACAGAGAGAUAUUUCUUCUACUUGUGACACAGAAUAUGAUAUAAAAGAGAAUUCUGCACCAAAUGUAGCUGUUGUUGCUAUGAAAGUUUGUCAUCAGAGAUUGUAAUAACUAGCUUUUGUAAGGAAUAUAGUGAUGUUAGUAAACUCAAAAACAUUUUCCAACAUUUCAUAUGACAACCACCAGCAUUGCUAGUAUUGUGCAAUCAAAAUCAAUAUGCCAUAGUGAAUAUUUGGAGAGAGACAUGCUAAAGAAUUUAGAGAAGUUAUAGAUCAACUUGGACGACUUACAGACUAAUUGGUUUGAUGAGUAGAAUAACUAGGUUGAAUUUAGUAACUAAGGUCGUUGUUAAACUCCAGAUCAACACUGACCAAAGGUGUACCAAUUUUAAUGUUUUUUUUUUUCUCCGAUAUAGUGUAAUUGAAACAGUAUCCUAUAAUAUAAGGGAGAUUUGGUUGCUAAGUGGAUAAAUAAGCAUUACAUUUGAUGGAGCAAUCUGAAUGAUAAAGGGUUAAUAAUAGAAUGUGAUGUUUCUCAAGUUUAAUAAAAAUAAUAUUAUGAUAGACUUUAACUUACUCUAGUCAAUAUUUUAUGGUGAGCUGGCAGAAGUCUUAGCAUAUCGGACAAAAUGUUUAGUGACAUUUCUUCCGGUGUUAUGUUCUGAAAUCUAAUUGCACCAAAGCCAACUUUGUCCUUCAUCCUUUUUAUGUGAAGGUGAAUCUGCUAAAAAUUCAUGAAGGUGAAAAAAAAGUGAAUACUGCUGAGUUAGGUGUGGUUCUUCUUUAGGCAGCAUGACAAAUCAUAAACAUAAAAGCUUUUAUUCAAUUAAAUAUAGUAUAAUCAUGAUAUAUGAUCAUUGUCAUCCUCAUUGUCAUUUAAUUAAAUGUAUCAUAAAAUCUAGAAUCCAAGGAAACUAGUGGUUGUCUAUGUCAGCAAAAAUGAAUUCAUAGGAAAAUUCAUGGAAGAGUGCAGAAAGUUGAAUUUCUAUGAAGAUUGAAAUAAUCUGUUUUAAUCAUUUGCCCUUCAUGUAGUGGGUGGAGAAUACACAAAAGUAUUAUCAUCUUGGUCACAAGCUAUGCCUUUAGUUAGGAUAUUGAUUAUUCCAAACUUAGGUUCUGGCUUUACAUUAGCUGUUAUCUCUGGCUCCCCCCAAACUCUUUCAAUCACUGUCAUCUGUUUGAGUACAUUCUGUGUUGGAGACAUCUGUCCUCCCAUACUGAUGAUGUUGGUGCAGAAGCUAAAUCAUAUUCCAUUCUCAAAAGUAUCCUUAUAAAAGCAUAUUAAUACACCAAUACUCUAAUCUUUUCCUUUCUCCCAAACCUAUUUGUUACCCUGCAGUCAUCACUUGUUCACCUACUGGGUUUAUCUGUGUAACACCUAAUGAGUGUAACACUUUUCAUAACUUUCUGCUACAGAACACUCCCACCUUGACACCUCAAUUCAGUGCUUACUGCAGUUGUGUUUCAUUCCUGAAACAGUCACAGCUAAGAUAGUGGUUGACUGCAUUCUCCUAGGCAUGCCUUUUCAUAUCCUUCAUGCAGUCAAAGCCCAUAACUUAUGGCAAAAGAUGCUCUCAUUCAGAGCUCAUCCCAAAUAUACAUUGCUUUCCUUCCUUUAGUUAUAAUUCCCUUAUUGCCUGGUUUGUAACCACAAACUCCUGAUAAUCACUCUUUCCCACCCUACUUAAAACAAAUAGCUCUAUAAGCAGAGAAUCUGUAGCUUAUGUUUUGUUUCAGACUUCAUUAUAAUAUUAAAAAAAAGUAUUUUGUUAACUUGUUGGUUUUGUUUGGUUCAUUCUUGAGUCAACUUGUUACCUGAAUAAAAAUCUUUUAGCUAAACAUUCUUUCUAUAAAUGCAAUUUUUAAUAAUGGUUCCCCUUUAGCCAUUCUGCAUACCCAUUUGUAUCUAUGACAUGCUCUAAAUUCUUUGGUCAUCAAUUCUAGAUUUCCACAAAAAUUCACAUUUCAUCCAAUUUAUAACAUCAAUUCCACAGUAAUGUGUAGUCCUUUAUUCUCAGAGCAACUAUCUUGUAGAAUAUUCUUCUUUCCAUACAAUACUCUUCACUUCUAACUCACUUGCUUACUAUGAUUCUGAUUUGAGACAGUGCCAACAGAAUAUUGGCAGUGGUUUGCAACGGUUUUACUUCACCAUACAUGCCUGACAAGAAUAUUCUUUUUAAAAACAAUACUUAAUCUUAAACUCUGCAGUAUGAACUCUCAUACUCCUAGUACAUAAUUCUGUUCACUUUCGUGACAGCUCAUCAUAUCAAUCAAGGUUCAAUAUAACAAGUAACAGUCUUCAAAUUACGUCUGCUGUUGUACACUUGCAAACUAUUGAUCUGGUCGUUUCAAAUAUAUGUAUUUAAAAAAUAGGGCAAUCAAUAAAGGCAUUUUACAUUACCCAUUGAAAGCAUAAUUUCCAAUUGUCUGCCAAUUUAACCACUCUAUGAAAGUAAUUAUUUCACCUUGAUAAUCUAAAGUGAAGAAUAACAAAAUAUAAAUGUUCAUGUCUUAUGCAGAAGUACAAUGCUAAUACCAAUUGUCAUUUACAAUUUGUUGGAAAUAUAAAGUUGAUUUCAAUUAGGAACCAAAUUCUUUUAAUGUAGGUUUAACUUUUGUUAGAUUAAGGUCUGCUAACUGCUUUUCUAAGCCCUCAAAGAUUCAAACUUGCUCUACAUUUAAAGCUUUUGUAUAUAAAUGAUACAAAGAUAGACUUGUUUCAUAAGAGACAAAUUAGAUUGCUUUUCUUCUCUGCCUAUUGUUGAUGAUGUUAUUUAACUGAAAAUUAGCCCGAACUAAGAAAAUUUUCAGUCAAAGAUAUUCUAGCCUUGACCAUCUGGUUUCUUUUAAAGGCUUAGUCUAUAUAUAAUACUGCACCAUUCUAUGUGUUCCUCUAAUAUGGGAGAAUAUAACUAACAAGGUUGCUGUUUGUAGGAGGUUGACUUCAAACAGAAGCUCCUUAAUCAGCUUGAUCGCUGCUUGUGUUUCAUUUCUGUAAAAGAUUAUUUCAAGUACAAAAUAUAUUUCAUCUCAACGACCAGAUAUUUGAUCAACAGUUUUUUCUUUCAGUUAUUCUGAUUUAUUUUUGUUUGCCUUUUUUAAAUAAACUAUUGCAUGGAAUCACUUCCAAAAUAAUUAAUAUAGAAUAAAAAUAUGAAACUGCCAUAUCUUCUUUUGUACAUUUUAUAUAGAUGAUUGUAGAUAUUCUCAAAAAGAGUUUAUACCAUACAAACUACCAAAUUCUCAAUGUAAGGAAAAUGGCUGGCUGUUUCAAGAAGGAAUAGAAAUAGUUGCUUCAUAUAGUCUUUAAAUCAUCCUGUGUCUAUAAUUGCUGUAUUUGAGACUGAGAGCUAAACUAAUCAGCAGGAAACCUUACUAUCUUUUAUGUCAGUAUACAAAGACAAAGAUGAUGAAUUAACCUUCGAAAAUUAUAACUAAUAGGGAAGAAGUAUCCUUAAUUAAUGCAAUAAGAAAUAAUAUAUGAUACAAGUUUUUGGUCAAUAACAAAUAAUACUAUUUUACUGCAUAAGAGUAGUAAAGCACUAAAUGUAGGAGAGCACUGAGUCACUCCGUGGUAUGAAAGCAGAUAGGAAAUCAAUAUAUUCAAAACAAUUACAUUGCAGGUGAAGCAUUCCAUAUCAACCCUAAGACUUUGAAUUGUAAGUCAAUAAUUGUAAACACGUUAGCUAGGUGAGUGCUUAGGGUGAAGCUAAAAAAAAGUUACAUGUGUAAGUUUCAAAGUUGUUUGUUGAAAGUGUUUCAUAGACAAUGUUAGCAUUGUACUUUAAAAGUAUAUAUCGCGUUUCAAUAAAUACUUUGUUUCAAAAAUAAAGACGGGUUGUUAAAAUAUGAAUUAUACUGCACGGCAGUGAAGCCUUGACUUUGUCCUCAAUGCGCAAAACUUGAAGCAGUUUUUAAUUAUAUAGUAUUUGUUAGAUGUAAAAUGUGAUUUUUAGGGAACAUUUUGAUUUUAGAUGGACUUGGAAAAUGAGGAGUUAACAUAUUAGCUUGAAAAGAAUUGAAACCAUGUGUAUAUUGGCUAUGUUGUAGGUUAAGAUGAUAAGUUGGUAAAGAUGUUUAAGGAAUUCAUGACAAUGUCUUGUCAGUAGUAGAAAACAAAAUAAAAAGGAAAAAGAUGUGAGGUGAGGUAGUAGACAACCAGAAUACACAAAUAAAAUAAGAAUGAAACAGUCCAUUUUUGUGCUUUAUUAGAUCCAUAAGAGCCAGAAUAAUGUAAAAAUAUCUCUGAUAGUGAUAAUUAUUUCUCCUGUAUUUAUUUACAAAUAUAUUUUAUCACCUGCUUCUUUCAUGAGUUUCUUGUUCAUUUGUCAUUUACCGCCAUCUGUUUGGCAAUCUAAACAACUGACAUAAUCUCACUGACUAUCUUCCUCUAAGUUACAUUGGAAAUUCAACUCUUGGCACUUAUUCAGUUUAUUAGCUUAUUUUUUUACUCUACUCGAUUUCCUGCCCAGGAUGCUCUAUAUCAAUUAUUUAUAUCUCCACUCUAGCGAUGUUAGAUUUGAUAGUAUUCAAACUUUUCUAUCCAUAAUUGUAUUUCUUUGAAACUUUUUCCUGACCUAUAAUUUUGUUUCAUCCAUGUAUGUUACAUCCCAUUUUGAUCUUUGAUUCUCUGUAUAUAUAUACCAUGUUUUGUUGUCCUCCAUUUGAUUUCUAGUAAAUAAGUCUAAAUCUGUGCUGUUUCUAUCUUUAGAUCUGGCCAUUUUCCUAGUUUCUUUGACAUUUUUCUAUCUACUAGAUGAGUUCUCAAGUAUUGAGUGCAUUUUAUUAUUAUAGUCUUUUAUGACAGUGGUUGUUUGGUCUUUUCACCAGUUUGUUUUCUAUCAAUGUGCAAUGCUCUUUUUUUACUGUACAAUAACUUUUCUCUCAGCAGUUUUGUGUUUGUACUGAUAUGUUUUCCUGUGGAUCUCAGUUUAUCAUGUAUAAGAAUUUGACUUGGCAUUCUGGUCAUAUAAUAAAUAUUGGGUCAGUUGUUUCAUCGUAUUUGAUCAGUUCCUUUUAUUGUUUUGUCAAAUUCUAGCAGCCUAGAAUUUGCUGAGUUGUCAGUGUUACUAUUUCUGGCUGAAGGGCAAAAUAAUAUAAUUCCAUCAGUUUCACUAUACAGCAUCUAUAACAACUGUAAAUGUCCAACUUUACAUAACAACCAAUAGAUAAUAUAGACAUUUAUCUCAUUAUUACAAAGAGUGAAAGAAUUCAUAAAUAAUUUGGUAUUUAGCAAAUUUAUUGAAAUUAUCCUAUCCAGACUGCAUUAUAGUAGAGCAUUAUGAUUGUGCAUCAAACAGAUGGUAGCCUAGAAGAAAUGUGUGUGUGUGUGUGUCUGUUUAUACAUAAGCAUGUGCAUUUAUAUAAACACACUUUCUCUCAUACACAUAAAAAGAAUAGUAAUGUAAUAACAGAGUAGUAAAGAUAAAAUUUCUAUAUAAUGUUAAUUAUUGUCAAGAAGAUAUUUUAAUCUUUUCGUAAACACUCUAGAAUAUUUGUUAUUUAAUUUGUUUUGGUGUUGCUGUGAAUGAAAUAAAGCCACAUUUAUGGACAUAUAUUUUUUAAACAUUUAUUUUAUUGACAUUGUACAUAUAUCUUGCUAACCAUUUCACAAUAUAUAUUGUUGUAGGAUGUAUUAAGGCAUCUCUUUGAAACAAAUAUAACUCAGUUGAACUUAUUCACCUAUUUUUAGAAUAGGUCUUUUUAAUAAUGAGUUGCCAGAAAGUUCUUUAUUGCUGUAACAUGCCCAAUAUAAUUCUCUUUGAGAUGUUAAAAUUUGCAGAAAGAAAAUAAUUUUAUUAAUAGAUAGGUAAUUGUUGUGCUUUCUGAACAUGUUCCUAUUUAUAAUUUUUAAACUUUACUUUUAAUUUCAAUUUAUGUUACUGGUUUACCUGAUGAAUGUAUAAGAAGUUGGUUAGCUUUUCAUAUACAUUGAUACAGUCAAUCUAUUUUAUAGGUGAUCUUACGGGUGCUAAUUAAUCCUGUUACAUUAUGAUUAAUCAAAGAGUUAUUAAAGAAGUGUUACAUCUUGUAUAACCAUUUUUCUGUUUAUUAUUGUUUCUUCAUCCUGCAACACAUGCUAAGCUUAUAUUUUAGUUUCAUUUGCAUUCAGUAAAGAAUAUAAUCUCUAAUUAUAAAAUAAACUAAACAUUCACCUAAAAGAAGUUUGUUUUUAUAGUAUUUAAAAAAAAAUUUUAAUUAAGCUUCACUGUCCAAAAUUUUUUUCAAAGAAAAAGAAAUUGAUUAAAAAUUGUAAAAUACCCUUUGAAUUUUCAUUUCCUCAUUGAUAGGAGCAAAGGCUGCUGCUUUUCUACUUCCUAAAGUUCUGAUAGGAUCCUGAAAAUUUACAUUUUCAUUUAGAUUUUAAUUUUGAUUUUUCUCAAAAAUUCUCUUGUUUUUGUAGGUACAUUUAUUAUGCACAUAUUUUGACUUGUAUUCUUUUCUGUUAAAAUAUUUUAUAAAUUUAUUUAUAUUUUUGAUUUGUAAUUUAUUUUUAAUAUUCCAAUGAAGGUAAAGGUAAUUUAAGGAAACUUUGGCCACUAUUUCAGGCAGUUUGAAAUGUGACAGGGAAAAUUGCACGGCAUGAUGUGAGGAUACCCUUCACAAUGUUCCUGCAGAUGUUGUUAUCCUUUAAGGCAGACUUGCUGAGUUAUGGUAAACUUUAAUAGUGUAUCAUGAUUAGAGGCCAUGUUCAAAACAACAAACUGUACUCUUUCUGCUAGCAUAAUUAAAAUGUUUUAAAAUAAUAUUUACUUUGACCUUUUUGUUAACCUGUUAAAAUGCAGGAAGUUUUUUUGUUGUACCCUGUAUGAUAAAAUUACAUGAUGAUGGUUGUAAGGAAAGAAUUUAUUGCUACAAAUAAUAGCCAAUUAUAAAUCUUCUUUAAUUCUUUUAUCUAAUAGGCCACUGAAAUGUUGCAACAACCAUAAAAGAAUAUAUUCCAGGAGAGAUGGUGUAAUUAUGUUUGAGACUAUAUUAAUGUUAGGGAUGUUUUAAAUUGAAAGACAUGUUGUUGUCUAGGUGAUGAAGAUAAUUUAUAGCCAGUUACAAGUAUAGUGUUUAUUAUUAAACACUAACAGGCAUGCAAAUUAUAGACUGAUAUAAGAGAUCUGUCAAUUUACAGUAAGAAGUUGCCCAGUUACCAUAUAGUUUUUCCAUAAUGUAAUUCAACAGCCACACUUAUAUUCUUUUUGCUUUCUAUUACUACUCAAUAUUUUUUUCUCAAUUUUCUGAUCAGAUAUCUUGGCGACUUGAUAUACAUUUCAUAUAAGAUAAAUAUAUUGAUUUCAAAUUUUGGUACAAGGCCAACAGUUUCAGGGAAGGGGUAAGGUAAGUUGAUUACAUUGACCCAGUGUGCAACUGGUACUUAUUUUACUGACCUUGAAAGGAUGAAAGGUAAAAUCGACCCUGGAGGCAUUUGAACUCAGAACAUAAAGGUGGACAAAAUGUCACUAAGCUUUUUGCCUGACACACUAGUGAUCCCACCAAGAUAAAUAUUAUAUUGAUUUCAAAUUUUGGUACAAGACCAGCAAUUUUGUGGAAGUCAAUUACAUCGAUCCCCAAAAUAUGAAUGCCAAAGUAAACUUUGGCAGAGUUAGAACUCACAGCAUAAAAACAGACAAAAUGCCACUAAGCAUUUUGCCCAGCAUGCUAAUGAUUCUGCCAGCCUGCUACCUUUAAGAUAAAUAUAUCAUUAUAUUAAACAUCAUUCAAGGAAGAAACUACUUUGCUUUGAUUUACAUAUACUAGAGAUACUUUGAACAAGUUCCCUUCCAACAUGUUGCUUAAUUUUUAUAUAAUUCUAGAAUAAAUCCUUCUGAGAUCAUGAACUUGAUGUUGGUAUUAGUAAGAAUCAUUGAGAAAAUAAUUGUAGUAACUACCAUCAUCAUUUUACAUUUGUUUUUCCAUGCUGAUAUGGGUUAGACGUAUUUUCUCUGGCAUAGCACAAACAAAACUUAGUUUUUAGUAGACUUAACUUUUAGUAGUAUGAUAAUGAUUCAUAAAUUAGCUUUAUAUUCCAUAUUUUUUUUUACUAAGCCUUAAAGUUGUGCUAUGCAAUUUCUCCAUAACUAGAGUUAACCAGUGUAAAUAAAGUAAAGGUGCAAUAGUUAUAAAGGGAAAAAAAACAUCUAUCAUGUAAGGCAAUCACAAUUGAUAUUUUCAACAUAUUGAUCAAAAUCAGAUUUUUAAAGUAUAUGCACUCUUAUUUUGGUAACCAGUGCAAGUUAAGAAAUGAGGUAGAUGGGUUGUUAAUAACCACACACUGAACCCUAUGAAUGUCCCAAAUAGAUGUCAUUGUGUUUCUGAAAAUCUGUGAUUGCUGGAAAAAAAGUGUCAUUCAAAAGCAAAAGGUUUUCACCUGUUGAGGUGUUCUUUCUAAGGCCAGAAGAUGGUUCUUAUUAGGCAAUAGUGGUUGGACAGUUUUUUUUCCUCACAUGAAGAAAGGUAACAAAAGAGAGAAUAUAUAUGAGGUAUGUGCAAUUUUUUAGGUCAGAGGCAGUAGCAGUUUGAAGAUCUGUUGAUUCUCAUAGUUAAUAACUGUUUUUCAUUAAAGAUGUUCAUAUUAAAUAUUGGAACUUAUUAACAAACUGUUUAAUAAAAUAGAACAUAGCAUGUUAUUAUUGCUACACUAAAUAAAUCAACAUUUAACAUUAAAAUUAGCCACAUCUGGUUCAUAUGUGAAAGGUUUAUUAAUGUACACCUGAAGCAUGCAUAAUGUAUAUAUAAUAACUAUAUAGUUAUAAUAAUAAUAAUGAAAUUAUUGUAUACAGUGCUCAGGUGCACCACAACUUGUCGAAAGUGCAUAUAAAGCAUAUGCAGUAAUGUACAAAUGUCUGGAAAGCGAACAAUGUAUGAGUCAGAUACAUGCUUGUGUGUGUAUGGAGGGGAGAAAAUCAGGUGUAGUGUUGGUGAAUCUCAGAAAGCAUGGAAGUUUUGAAGGAUGCAGUGCUCCGACAACUAACAACUGAUGCCGGCAGUUUGUUCCAUGCUUCAGCAACUCUUAGUGUGAAAAAAUAUUUCCAAAAGUCAUGGAAGCUGUACUGUUUUCUGACUUUGUAAACACGUCCACGGGUGUUAGACAGGUGGAGUUUGAAAAGGUGCUCACUUAUUGUUAGUAAGAUGGUUAAUAAUUUUAUGGGUGUCUGCCAAGUCAGCUGCCAGAAAUCGGAGUUUCAAUGUAUCCAUGCCCAGGGAAGUAAGGCAUUCAGAAUAUGGCAAAUGCCUGAUGGAGGGUAUUCUCUUGGUUGCAUACCGCUGAAUGCUUUCCAGAUGAUUAAUAUCCUGGGCAAGAUAGGGGUUCCAGACUGGUGAUGCAAAAAGCCUUAGUUAUGAAGAUUAAGGUUUUGUUCUCUUAAGUAAACAGCAAAAUAACUGGGAAUCUACUUAUGAUAGGUUUUGGGAUAAUUGUCCCCAUCAGAUUUUUACUAUUAUAGUUCAGCUGCAGAAAGAAUUUUGAAUUUAAAUCAUUACAUUGGAUGUUUUCAUGUCAUCUUAAUUUCCACUGCUAAUGCUUUCAAAUAUAUAACUGUAAUAAUAUAAAUAUUACUAUAAAGAGUAUGUGUGUGUAUGAGUGUGCAUGAAUGUGUUUACAUGCACACAUAUAUAUACAUUGUAUGUGGCACAGUCAGCAUGUUUGGCUAUUAACCAAAAGGUAGGUGGUUCAAGACCAGGAACAAGGAUAAUACCUUUUCUUCAUUCUUCUUAAGUUUACUUCCUAACUGCAUGCAUUUUGAGUCCAGUCCCAUUAAUGUAUGUUAUUUAGUUUAUUACUAUGUUUAAAAAAAGUUGCCAGGUGUCUGAAUCAGUUGAUAAGUUGAUUAAAUACCUUGGUGUAUUUAGUUAUACCCAUUAAUGUUUUGAUUUCAAAUUCUACUGAUCUCUAGUUUGCAUUUCAUUCAAUCCGUAUCAUUUAAAUUGAAUACACAUUCUCAUCAAAAUGUGUGGCCUUGUGUUAAAUUUAGAAACUAAAACUUGCAUUUAAUUAAAAUAAAAUAUAUUUAUAUAACACCUCUUAGAAUACCUAUCAAUAUGUGUUCAUAAAUUAAAUAUCAUUAAGUAAUAGUAUAUUGUUCUUUGAAUUACUACUGAAGACUAUUUUACUUUAUAGAAUAUAUAUAAGUAUCAUCCUAGAUACUUUAGUUACCAUAAUUUUAUCUUGGAACACAACUAAUGGAUUUCUGGUUUGAAAAAAAAUAAAGUAAACAUUUUUUAAUGAAAGAUUGUUUAUAUUUAAGAGACUUUAUGAACUGAGGUUGAAACAAAUAAAAAUUUUGUUUUGAAUUAUCACUUUAUAGGUUGUUAUUAAAUCAAUAUGAACACCUUGAAGAAAAUAGAUUUAUGAUGCAUAUACAGUUGUUUAUCAGUGGUACUUAUUAAUUAUUUUGUUUAUCAAAUUAGGUAAUCCAUAUGAAUUGAAUCAAUUCCAGGAGCUUAAUUUUGAUAGAAUGAAGUGAUAUUUUUAAAUACAUAAAUAGACAUUUGGCAUUACAGAAGAGAUGGGUUUUUGAAGAAGUAAGCCAAAUAAUUGACUUAGAACCUUAGAUGGGAAGAGGCAAAGGUAACUUCUCGAAUUGUUUAAAUAUGGAUGCAACUCUUCAACAUGAAUUAUAACAUCUGGAGAUAAUAUCAAUGGAAAAAGGCAUAUGCAUAACAAGAUACUCUUAAGAAACUCUUGAAGGGAAUGGAAAGAUUUAUUGAAAUUCCUAUAAAUAGCUGACUGCUUUAUGACCAAAAUAUUGAGAUAGAUGAUGGUUUUCCUAAUGAAAAAUUUUGUAAAAGAAGUUGAUGAAAUAUUUGAGUGGAUAUUAAAUGAUGAUGGUGAUGAUCUUCAUAUAUUUAUAGGUACUUUGCAUUUCAAGCAUAUACUCAAAAGUAUUGCAUAUCUAUAUGAACAGAAAUAGGGCUGGGCCUGUAAUUACUUAAUAAUUACUUAAUUAGGAUUGUGUUGUUCAUAAUGGCAGCUAUACAAACAACAGAAGAGGGUUAUGUUCUUAGGAAAAAUAACUUAAGCUACAGUUAUUGUAUACUAGCAGUAUCGCCCGGCGUUGCUCAGGUUUGUAAGGGAAAUAACUAUAAAGCAUUUUUAGAGAGUUAUAGCCAAAAAAUAGCAAAAAAAUGGGAAAAAAAUUAUGGUAAAUUUUUUUGAGUUAAAAAAGGUGGAGUUGCGUCCCCUAGACGGUCUGUGGUUUGGGUUUCUGAUUCUCGACCCCAUGUCGAAUUUAUCAAUUUUUUUCAGAACUGGGGGAACUUUUCAAAAUUUUCGCUGCGUUAGUUUUGAAUUAUGACAUUGGGCUAUGUGUGUGUCAAGUUUCAUCAGAAUCGGUUGAAAGCCAUGGUCAGAGUGAGGGUACGAGAAAACAGACACACAGAAAACGCACAGACAAACUGCCGUUUAUAUAGAGAGAGUUAUUGUAACUGGUUAUUUCUAAUGAAGGUAACGUACUACACAUUUUGCCUGAAGUAAUGUGGUCAAUUUAAUUACCUAAGUAUCUGCCUGAUAUUUUAUUUUAUCAACUUUCAGUCUCUGAAUCUUGGCCUUAAAUUAUAUUAUAUAUAAUACAUAAAAUAAUAAUGAUAAAACACUUGAAAUAGUGUUGUUAUUGCUCAAAACUUUUAUAACAAACUUUGUUUUAGUUAGGCCAGAAUAUAUUGUAAGGUAACAACAAACUGGUAGAAUCAUUAGCACAUUGGACAAAAUGCUUUGCAGUAUUUCUCCUGGUUGUCUGUGUUCUGAGUUCAAAUCCUGCCUAGGCCUACUGUGCCUCUCAUUCCUUUGCAGUUGAUGAAAUAAAGUAACAGUAAAAUACUGGAGUUGAUACAAUCAACUUGUCCCCUCUCCUUAGAAAUACUGCAAUAGAGUGUCUCCUAUUCAGGGGAAGUGUUGUGAUCUCAGUCAUUUAUACUCCAUGGAAACUGGGUAAUCAACCUUAUGAACCCUAUGGCUCAAGAAUAAUAUUAAGAUUAAUUGAGAAUAUAUAGUAAAAUCUUCGUUUACACUGGGAUAUUAUAUUUCAACUGAAACAACAAUAGCUAAAGUACUUAAAGCAGUACUUGUUGAUUUGUAAAUCUGGGAAAAAUCACAUCAAAGUGAGCUCUAUUGAAUAAUAUCUAUUAAAAGGAAAUGUAUGUCUUAGUAUUAAUUAUAAGUAUUGGAUGAUAUAUCAAAGAUGCUGGAAUGACAUAGUGAGACAGAGAAAUAUGCAAGUUGAAAAUGAAUGGUGUCAAUGUAUUCUUAUGUCAGAUAUUACAAAACAUGUUGAAUUAGUGAUGAUCAAGGAGAACUAGAAUACACAAAAUUAAUAAAAUUAACAGAUGGCAAACUCAUAUUACUAUAAAGAGUAUAUGUUUGUGUAUGAGUGUGCAUGAAUGUGUUUACAUGCACACACACAUAUAUAUAUAUAUAUAUAUACAUUGUAUGUGGCACAGUCAGCAUGUUUGGCUAUUAACCAAAAGGUAGGUGGUUCAAGACCAGGGACAAGGAUAAUACAUUUUCUUCAUUCUUCUUAAGCUUACUUCCUAAUUGCAUGGAUUUUGAGUCCAGUCCCCCUAUGUGACACCUUGGAUAAAUGUCUUCUACAAUACCUCCAGACAGACCAAAGCCUCGAGAGUGGAUUUGGUUGAUGGAAACAGAAAGAAGUUCAUCGUGCAUAUGUGUGUGUAUGUUUUUAUCUUCUUAUUUGGACAUUACUUAGUAAUUGUACAUGGAUGUGACUAUUACAUAAGUAGUGUCAUUCAUUUUCAAUAUUCUAUGAGGGCAUGUCUGCUCAGGUGAAGGAUGAAGACAGGAAGGGCAUUUGUCUGUAGAAAUUCUGAUUCAAUAAACUCCAUUCAACCAAUGCAAGUAUGGAAAAAUUUUAAAUGACAAUGGAGAUGAUUAUAUUUAUCAGCUAAAUUAGCCCUGUUUAUUUAGUUUUAUACAGGUUACAUAUAUCAUACCUUUAUACUGUGUGAACUGAGAUCCCUGUUGUCAGGCCUCUGAUAUUUAAAAAUAAAUGUUGACAUUUUCAGUAUGUAAAUUAGUACUUCCAGCUACUGUAAUUGUGCUCUGGAAUUUACAGAUGUGGAAGAGGGAAGAAAAAGAUGACAGAGUCAUUAAAAGGCAUCCCUUUGCAAGAAUGCCAGCACUGCUUCCAACAGUGGGAAAUGUGUCUGGACCAAUGCAUUGCUUCAAAUGGAGAAUACUUUGAAGGUGAUAAAAGCGUAAACAUGUAAAACUAAGUGAAUAAAAUAAUAUUGCAAAAUUCUGGUCUCUUUUGGGUAUUCCCUCAUAGAUAUGUAAAGUAUAUAUUUUCACCAAAAUACCAGGCAUUGGCCAGGAUAAAUCUUUGAGAAUUAACGUUGUAAUAUAUUAACAUCAUGAAGUAAUUCGGUUACAUAUUUCAGUUUCUUGAUGAACAAUGUUCUUUGUUUUUCAUAUGUGUGUGCAUGCACAUGUAUGCAUACAUGCAUAUGUAUGCAUUCAUAUAUAUAUCUAUGUAUAUGUGUAAAAAUAUUUUAUGGUAUAUUUUAAAUACAUAUUGCAUAUCAUUAUCACCAUCUUUAUCAUCAUUUUAACAUCCAGGUUUUCCAUGCUGGUAUAAGUUUGAAGUAAUUUCUUGAGACAAUUAUCUAUAGCUAGAUGUUUCUUCUUAUGACCAACCCAUCUUUCCAACUAAUAUCCUAUUUUGAGCAAUGAACAGUUCUAUGUCCAAACAAAUUUUUGCAGUAGAUGUAUUCAAAGGCAUCACUUAUAUAGUGACAUUCUUUUUAUGACAUUUGCAAACGUUGUCAACACAAUGGGAAAGCAAAGGCACUUACAAACAUAAUAUAUAAGUGUGUGUGUGUGUGUCUUUGUGAUUAAGGAGUUUACUUUACAGUCAUAUGGUUUCAGGUUCUUGCUGCACAUCACCAUGAAUAGGUGCCAUCUACUACAGUGAAUGGAACUAGUAGAUAGAAACUAGAUGGAAGUCCACUAUAUACAUAUAUAUAAAACAAACCUACCCAUGGUGUUAUGUUGCAGGAAGAAACCCAAAACCACAUGGUUGCAAAAUAAACUCCUUAACCACAUAACUGCCUCUGUGUGUAUCUCUCUCUCUCUAUAUAUAUAUAUAUAUAUAUAUAUAUAUAUAUAGUUAAUCCAAACAUGAAAACACAACAACGCGAGGAUGUGGAACAAGUAUAGUAUUAUUGGACACUCAAGAAAGAAGGAAAGAAGGAGGGUUUAGCGUUUCGAGCGGAGCUCUUCGUCAGAAAUAUAGGAAAGAUCCAAAGAAGGGAAAACAGAAGAAAAAAAAUCGCCAACGGUACACACGCAGUCACAUUUUGAAUGAUCAUCAUAAUCAUAAUUUAACAUCCACUUUUUCAUGUUUGCAUGAGUUAGAUAGAAUUUGUUGAGGUAGGUUUUCUACAGCUGGAUGUCCUUCCUGUCACCAACUCUGACCUGUUUGUAAACAAUAGAUGAAUACAUACACACAUGCACACACACACACACACACACACACACACACACACACACACACAUAUAUAGGGUACACUGAAUAAACUGUCGUCUAAAUUACGUAAAAAUGAAAAUAACAUUAACAUCUCAUUUUGUCAUAUAUAUUUACCAAAAUUAUAUAAAGAUAACUUGAAAUUCGAAAGAAUAAAUUUAUUCAAUAAAAUCACCAUGGGCUUCAAUCAUGGCCUCCAGACAACCUCCACCCCAUCCUUUAAACCCACUCCCACAUACCCCACCUUUAGCCUAACCCACACCCAACCCUUGCUUUCCCCACACUCACCUCCUCCACAUCCCAACACCACCACACCACACCACACACUACCAUGUCACAAAAUACCACAUCAAAUUACACCACCAUGCACACACUAGCACUGACCACUUCUGAGCAUCUACACCAUCAUCCACACACCUACACAUGCACACAAGCACGCAUCAAGGUCACCAGCCCUCUUCUACACACACAUACAUGCACACGCACCUUCGUUUUGGGAUCACUACUACUUUAUUAUCUUCCCUUCUUCCUAGCUCUCCUGUGUGACUCCUCUGUUUGGCAUUCACCAUGAUAGAUUGUUAGCCACUACAGGUUCUUUAUUUUCUCUCCCUGUUUCUUUGUGUUCCUUUCUGUGAAAGAGCAUAGGCUCGAAACUUUAAAGACUUUAGCAACUAUUAUAUUGGCCUAUGCCCCUCAGUCAAGGCUACCCGAUGGACAGAAAGACCGUUUCUAUGACACCCUACUGCAGACCACCUCAUUGACGAAUGACAGGGACCUUCUCUUUGUGGCUGGUGACUUCAAUGGGCAUGUUGGACGACAUGCUGGGGGCUUCCAUGGCGUACAUAGAGGCUACAGUUAUGGUUCCCGCAACGAGGAUGGAACCAGGCUGCUGGAGUUCUGCGAUGCGAAUAGUCUUAUGGUUUGCAACACUAACUUCAGGAAACCGACAAGCCACCUGGUCACCUACCGAUCGGGCCGGCAUACUAGCCAAAUCAACUACAUCCUUGCCAGAAAAAGGGAAAGAUGGCUGCUUAUAAAUGCCAAAACCUUCCCAGGCGAAGAAUGUACCCCACAACAUAGACUGGUAGUUAGUGACUUUAGGAUCAGGACUAAGAGGGCGACUAGAAGAUGACCAACAUGGAGAAGAAGGGUCUGGAAGCUUAAAGACCAUGCGAAUGGACAGAGAUUUAGAGACAUGCCUUUGACGAAAUAGAAGGGGGUAUAGCUACACAUGGGGUAGAAGACAACUAAGGGACAACCUGCUGAAAGCCACUGACCAGAUCUGUGGCUGUGCAAAGUCCCCUCAAGACCCAAAAUAACGUGAUGGUGGAACAAUAUUGUUGACAAGGCUAUUAGACAAAAGAAACAGGCUUGGAAGGACUGGAAGAACGGUGGUAGCAGGGAAGUGUAUCAGACUGCCAGAAGGGAAGCUAGGAGGUAGGUGUAUUUAGCCAGAGAGGAAGCAGAUAAGAAAAAAUUUGCCAAUGUUCUGUGCCGUGAGGAUGAAAGACUUGAGGUAUUUCGUGUUGCAAGACAGUGUGUGAGAGAGAAUCGUGACGUGGUAGGAGAGAAAUGUGUUCGCAAGGAUGACGGUUCACUUGCGCUAAAUGAGGAUGCAAAGAGAGAGGUUUGGAGACGCCACUAUGAAAGGUUGCUGAAUGAGGAAAAUGAAUGGAAUAAAGAGAGUCUGCCGAAUGUCGACCCAACAGAGGGACCAGCAAUCCGAGUUGACAGUUCCUUAGUAGUUAAGGCAAUUACAAGCAUGAAAACAGGGAAAGCCCCAGGCCCAUCAGGAAUUACUGCAGAGAUGCUCAAAAUAUCUGGUAGUGUCGGCUAUAGCCUAGUCACCCGUAUAGUUAACCAGGUGAUACACGAAGGAGUCAUACCCAAUGACUGGUGUAGCAGCAUAAUAGUCAACUGCUACAAAGGUAAAGGUGACGCCCUAGAUACAAAUAACUACAGGGGUAUCAAGCUGCUGGAUCAGGUAAUGAAGGUUACGGAGAGGGUUAUAGCCCAACUAAUUAGAGAGAGAGUUAGCUUAGAUGAGAUGCAGUUUGGGUUCGUGCCAGGGAAAAGUACUACUGAUGCUAUAUUCCUGGUAAGACAGCUGCAGGAGAAAUACCUAGCCAAAGAUAAGCCCCUGUACCUGGCUUUAGUUGACAUGGGGAAAGCCUUUGACAGGGUCCCCCGAUCUUUUAUCUGGUGGUCAAUGAGGAAACUAGGGAUAGAUGAAUGGUUAGUGAGAGCUGUGCGAGCCAUGUACAGAGACGCUGCUAGUAAGGUGAGGGUUGGCAACGAGUACAGUGAAGAAUUCCGGGUAGAGGUUGGGGUCCACCAAGGUUCAGUCCUCAGUCCCCUCCUAUUUAUCAUAGUCCUCCAGGCAAUAAUGGAGGAAUUCAAGACAGGAUGCCCCUGGGAGCUCCUCUAUGCUGAUGACCUUGCUCUAAUUGCUGAGUCACUAUCAGAACUGGAGGAGAAGUUUCAGGUGUGGAAGCAAGGAUUAGAAUCGAAGGGCCUUAGAAUCAACCUAGCCAAAACCAAAGUCCUAAUAAGUAGGAAGGUAGACCAAUCACAAUCGCCUUCAGGUAGAUGGCCCUGCUCGAUCUGUAAAAAAGGUGUAGGUAGAAACUCUAUAAGGUGCACCAAGUGUAAGCUAUGGACACAUAAGAGGUGCAGCAAUUUCAAAGGAAGGCUAACUAGGAAAAUAGUUUUUGUCUGUGGCAGAUGCUCAGGAGCAAUAAACACUGAAAAUGUGCAGAGACCAACUUCUACCACGUUCCAGGGAAAAAAAACAAGUCAGUAGCAGGGGUGGGUGUGCUGAAAGUGUAACUGCUAGAGUAAGAAUAGCCUGGGCAAAGUUUAGAGAGCUCUUACCCCUGCUGGUGACGAAAAGCCUCUCGCUCAGAGUAAAAGGCAGACUAUAUGAUGCAUGUGUACGUACAGCCAUGCUACAUGGUAAUGAAACAUGGGCUGUGACUGCUGAGGAUAUGCGUAAGCUCGCAAGAAAUGAAGCCAGUAUGCUCCGAUGGAUGUGUAAUGUCAGUGUU
rnacentral:lncRNA from 1 species